rnacentral:lncRNA from 1 species
GCCUAAGCAUCCAAGGAACCUCCUCCAAGGUGUGUGGAAUAGCUCUAGAUGUUUCUCUUUGUCAAAACAAUAGGGUUUCAAGUCGCACUAGGGCUAUAUAUAGGCCAAAAAGAUAACAAAAUGAUCACAGAAUCCGCAAAAUAAAAACUGACAACUGCUCAACCCCUAAUUUGACCGCUCAGCGGUUUCCCCUUAAUCGCAGGACCGCUCAACUUCCAAAACUGCCGCUCAGCGCCAAAAACUGACCGCUCAGCGCCAAAAACUGACCGCUCAACGCCCAUUUUCACUGCUCAGUGAUGAAGGUCGAAAAACAGUGAUUUUCAUAUGUCAAUUUGGACCAAAUUACACUCUUUACUACUCGGAAUGAGCUUAGACUCAAGCAAAACUCAAUAAAUGAGUCUGAAGAGAGUCAAACGUUGUUUUUAGCUAUUUUAUGUUUAUUUUGAAUUUUUUUGUAGCUAAUUUGAGAAAAGUGAGAAUGGAGUUAAAGAUACAGGUCGUUGACUCAAGAAGAGAACAGAAAAAUGAAGAUUUGAAGAGUCGAUGCACUGCCCAGCAGCACACUAAAAACCACUGGGGAGUCCAGGACGAGAAGUAAGCAUGGAAAUGGGCACUGAGGGAAACCGCCGGGCGGCGGCGAUUGCCGCCGGGCGGUGGCGGCAGGUUAUGGGAAACCGCCGGGCGGCACACUUAAACCGCCCGGCGGUGGCAUGUUGGACUUGGGCCUNNNNNNNNNNNNNNNNNNNNNNNNNNNNNNNNNNNNNNNNNNNNNNNNNNNNNNNNNNNNNNNNNNNNNNNNNNNNNNNNNNNNNNNNNNNNNNNNNNNNNNNNNNNNNNNNNNNNNNNNNNNNNNNNNNNNNNNNNNNNNNNNNNNNNNNNNNNNNNNNNNNNNNNNNNNNNNNNNNNNNNNNNNNNNNNNNNNNNNNNNNNNNNNNNNNNNNNNNNNNNNNNNNNNNNNNNNNNNNNNNNNNNNNNNNNNNNNNNNNNNNNNNNNNNNNNNNNNNNNNNNNNNNNNNNNNNNNNNNNNNNNNNNNNNNNNNNNNNNNNNNNNNNNNNNNNNNNNNNNNNNNNNNNNNNNNNNNNNNNNNNNNNNNNNNNNNNNNNNNNNNNNNNNNNNNNNNNNNNNNNNNNNNNNNNNNNNNNNNNNNNNNNNNNNNNNNNNNNNNNNNNNNNNNNNNNNNNNNNNNNNNNNNNNNNNNNNNNNNNNNNNNNNNNNNNNNNNNNNNNNNNNNNNNNNNNNNNNNNNNNNNNNNNNNNNNNNNNNNNNNNNNNNNNNNNNNNNNNNNNNNNNNNNNNNNNNNNNNNNNNNNNNNNNNNNNNNNNNNNNNNNNNNNNNNNNNNNNNNNNNNNNNNNNNNNNNNNNNNNNNNNNNAAUAAUCAAGGGUAGUAAGUAAGAGAGAGUGGAAUAGAUGAAAUUGUUAGUACCCAACAACAUCCAUCCAUCCAUUGUUUUCACUUGUCAAUUGAAUCAACAUUUAUUUUGCAUGUUAAUAUUUUUAUCCUCAAAUUCCAAUUUAUUAAAUUUUAUUUUUCAAGUCUUAUUAUUUUAAUUCACUCGAAAGAGAAAGCCAUACGAGUCCCUUGGGAAAAACGAUACUUGGUCUUACCAUUUAUAUUACUUGUACGAUUUGGUACAACUGCCAAUUCGUCAACACUCAGCGCUGGUCAACUGCACUCUGGUCAACUGGUUGACUUUCUAGUUAACUGAUUGACUUUCUAGUUGACUAGUUGACUUUUUUGCAUUCUGGUUGACUUUUCUGCACUAUAACUCUUUGAUAAUUCUCACCAGGUGGUUUACAAUAUGAGUGAACCGUUUCUGGACAUCAUAGAUGUUCUCACCAGCUUUCAUUCUGAACACCUCAUUUUCUUGAAUCAAUGAAUUUUUCCUGGCUCUCUUGACUUCAUCUGUUCCUUCUUCUAGUACUAGAACAUAUGUACUGUUAUUAAGCAUUGUGUUGUCAUCAUCAAAAACCAGUUUGAUAUAGAGUUUGUGUUGUCAACAAUCUCAACCCUGAGGCUUUAGGUUUUGCAUCCCUGGCAAAAGAGAGCAUAUAAUACACUCCUAGCCAAUUCUUAGUCUUUCAUUCUUCUUUCUUUUCUUCCACUGUUCAUAGGUUCCCCCAUGUCUAUGGGGAAUCAAUUUCUAUUUGUUCUUGGGGAGUGAUGUAACCUUGUUGAUGAAGGUUGAAAAACAGUUAUUUUCAUAUGUUAAUUUAAACCAAGUUACACCCUUUACUACUUGGAAUGACCUUAGAAUCAAGCAAAACUCAAUAAAUGCGUCUGUAGAGAGUCAAGAGUUGUUUUUAGCGAUAUUACGCUUGUUUUGCAUUGUUUUGUAGUAUUUUGGAGAAAGUGAAGAAUGGAGUUGAAAAUACAGGUCGUAGACUCAAGAAAAGAGCAAAAAAAUGAAGAUUUGAAGAGUCGACGCACCGCCCGGUGGCAACUUAAACCGUCGGGCGGCCCAAGGCUAGGAGUAGGCACUGGCGUUGGCGCUGGGCGGUUUUGAGGGAAAUCGCCGGGCGACACCUUACACCGCCGGGCAGUUCUGAGGCUUUUGGGAAAUUGUCGGGCACCACGCUUGAACCGCCGGGCGGUGGUCCGCUGGGCUUGGGCUUGUUUUCUAUUGCGCUCCUCACCUAUAAAUACCCCUAUUUCGAGUUCAGAGUUAUUCUUUUGACAGGGGAGAACGACAAGACCUAAUUUUGCUCUCUGAAGAGGAUCUCUUGGAUGCUUCGGCUCUUUUUCAUCUUUUCUAGGGUUUGCUUUUCCAUUCUUCUUCCAUUUUCCAUCUAGAUUCACCAUGUCCAUGGUGAACUAAACCCUAUUGUAGUUGGGGGAAACAAUGUAAUCUUUUGAUACUCUUUUUUAUUGAAACUCUUGAUUAUUUAUAUGGUUUCCAUAUGUUUUGAUUGUUAAUUGUUGGGUUCUCAUCUGUGCUUAAGACCUUUAUCGUUUAACUCAUUCGAUAACUGAUGUUUGUCUUUAUUGAUACGGGGACGUACAAUAAUGUCAUGAACUGGUGAGUAAUUCCUUGAUUUUGCAAUACCACCUAGGGAUAGGGGUAGGACGAUCAAUUGCUUUUCACUUCUGCUCUGUAAUGCUGUAUUAAUUGCUAGGGGAGGCAAGGGAUAGCAAACCAGUAAUUAGUACUAGGCUCUUUUCGUCGAGGGAUUGGGUUAAGGGUAGGCUAAGAAAGUUGCAUGACAAAUAAUUAAUCAAACUAAUAAUUCAAGAGGAGUAAAUAAGAGAGUGUAGAUAAGAGGAAUUUGUAAACCCCCAACAAAUCCAUUCAUCCAUUGUUUUCCUUUUGUCAAUUGAAUCAAUCUAUAUUGCAUGUUAAUAUUUUUGUUCUCAAAUCAAAUUAAUUAUUUUUAUUUUCAAGUCUUAUUAUUUGAAUUCACGUGAACGAGAAAGCCUUUUGAGUCUCUUGGGAAGAACGAUAUUGGGUUUUACCAUUUAUUAUUACUUGAUACGAUUUGGUACGUUUGCUAGGAAGGCACACCUAUUGAUGAGUGUUGGAAGGAAUUGCACUUACUGACAAGUGCUAAAUAGGUUUGGGUCAGGCUCGUGACGUUAAACAAGCGCUACUAGGAGGCAACCUAGUUUUGUCUCUUUUACUUUUAUUUUAUUUCUUUUUAAAUUCCAAAAAUAGGUUGCAUUUUAAUUUUAGUGUGUAUCCUUGGCUUGAAAAUGUGUGACUGACUGAUGUGCAUGAUGGAGCUAUUUGAUAUUUAUUGGAUGUGGAUGAUAAUUAGGUUGUGUUGUAUAUGAAUAUUCAGUGAAACAGAUGUGUGAUAAAUUAUGAUUGUGGUCAUGAUGCUAGGCAGAGUGUAUGAAUGAAUUUUGUGUGAGAAAGCAUGUUAUGUGAGGUAUUGAGUUCUAGAGUUUUUAUUGUUGUAUGCAUUGUUCACAGGAAAACGUGAAUGAUAUUGCCUUAGUCUCAAUGAUUGAUUGAAUUGCAUGUGAAUGUCAUAUGAUCAAGGCCAUUUUUGAAAACCCUUCUCUAGCCAACUUUUCACCCAAAGUUCUUGAAAAUACUAUACCAUUUUUGCACCUUAGCCUUAAACAGGAUGUGAACCCUUGUCUCGAAAUUCUUUACCUUGAGUUGGGUGGAGCUUAAUUGUAUGCGAUGAAAAGGUUCAAGUUUGGGGUUGUAUGGGGGAAAUUGAAAGGCAAAUGAAAGGCAUUGAGCUCAAAUGUUGUGAAAAGAAAAAUUCAUGAGAAAAAGAAAAGAAAAGAAGAAAAGCAUGAAGAUGAGCUCAAUGAAAAAGAAAAAGGGAAAAAAGUUGGGAAUGACAGAAAUUGGUAAGGAAGAGAGUUGUGCUUAAAUGUUGAAUAUUUUGUUAGCUCUCUUGACUCAAGGAUUUUGCAUUCUAGAAAAACCAAUUCUUCUUGUUAGCCCAACCUCAUUACAAGCCUUGAAAAGUCCUUUUGAUGACAUUUGCAUCUAAGGAUUUUGAUUGUUUGAGAUGAAUGGCAAAUUUGUUUUAUGUGACUUGUGAAUAAUAGAGAGUUGGAGUGUCACCUUAAACACUUGAGUGAUUGAGUGAAACACUUGCUUGAUUUGAAUUGUUAAUUUUCAUGAGUACAUUUUUGCUUAGUGGAUUGGUCAUUCAUAAUGGGUAACAUCUGUUGUGCAAUCUUUGGAUUGAAAGCAUGCAUGCAUCUUAUUUUGGAUUUCACUGAAGAUGUUGAAGUGAGUAGUUUUGUCAUGUACCUAGGGACUGUUGAACCAUUGGAUGGAAGAGGAUAAACCCAAGUUUUGUUUUGUGUGUUAUUUUGUUUGCUUGAGGACAAGUGUUGACGGAUUGGAAAGCGUACCAAAUCGUUCAAGUAAUAUAAUUGGUAAAACCCAAUAACGUUCUUCCCAAGAGACUCGAAAGGGUUUCUCGUUCACGUGAAUUAAAAUAAUAAGACUUNAAAAUAAAAAUAAUUAAUUUGAUUUGAGAACAAAAAUAUUAACAUGCAAUAGAGAUUGAUUCAAUUGACAAAAGGAAAACAAUGGAUGUAUGGAGUUGUUGGGGGUUUACAAAUUCAUCUUAUCUACACUCUCUUAUUUACUCCUCUUGAAUUAUUAGUUUGAUUAAUUAAUUGUCAUGCAACUUUCUUAGCCUACCCUUAACCCGAUCCCUCGGCGAAAAGAGCCUAAUACUAAUUACUGGCUUGCUAUCCCUAGUCUCCCCUAGUAAUUAAUACAGCAUUACAGAGCAGAUGUUAAAAGCAAUUGAUCGUCCUACCCUUAUCCCUAGGUGGUAUUGCAAAAUCAAGGAACUACUCACUAGUUCAUGAGAUUACUGUAUGUCCCCGUAUCAAUAAAGACAAACAUUAGUUAUCGAAUGAGUUAAACGAUAAAGGCCUUAAGCACAGAUGAGAACCCAACAAUUAAUCAUUCAAAACAUAUGGAAACCAUAUGCAUAAUCAAGAGUUUCAAUAAAAGAGAGUAUCAAAAGAUUACAUUGUUUCCCCCAACAACAAUAGGGUCUAGUUCACCAUAGACAUGGUGAAACUAGAUGAAAAAUGGAAGAAGAAUGGAAAAGCAAACCCUAGAAAAGAUGAAAANGAGCCUAAGCAUCCAAGAGAUCCUCUCUAGAGAGCAAAAUUAGGUCUGGUCGUUCUCCCCUAUCAAAAGAAUGACUCUGAACUCGCGAUAGGGGUAUUUAUAGGUGAGUAGUGCAGCAGAAAACAGGCCCAAGCCCAACGGACCACCGCACGGCGGAAUAAGUGUGUCGCCCGGCGGUUUCCCAUAAGCCUCAAAAUCGCCCGGCGCUAAGGGUCACCGCCCGGCGGGUUCCCUCAAAACCGCCCAACGCCAACGCAAGUGCCUACUCCUCCACCUGGACCGCCCGACGGUGUAAGUUGCAGCCGGGCGGUGCGUUGACACUUCAAAUCUUCAAUUUUCUUCUCUUUUCUUGAGUCUACGGCCUUUAUCUUCAACUCCAUUCUUCAUUUUCUCAGAAAUGCUACAAAACAAUGCAAAACAAGCAUAAUAUCGCUAAAAACAGCUUUUGACUCUCUACAGACUCAUUUAUUGAGUUUUGCUUGAUUCUAAGCUCAUUCAAAGUAAUAAAGGGCGUAAUUAGGUCUAAAAUGACAUAUGAAAAUAAUUGUUUUUCAACCUUCAUCAACAAGAAAAAUGAAGAUUUGAAGAGUUGAAGAUUACAUUGUUCCCCAACAACAAAAGGGUUUAGUUCACCAUUGUCGUGGUGAAACUAGAUGAAAAAUAAUGGAAGAAUGAAAAAACAAACCCUAGAUUGGAUAAAAAGGAGCCUAAGCAUCCAAGAGAUCUUCUCCAAGCAGUGAAAACUAGGUCUGGCCGCCCCUUUCUGUCAAAAGAAUGCAUCUGAAGUCGCACUAGGGCUAUUUAUAGCUGAGGAGCGUCACAGAAUUUAGGCCCAAGCCCAACAGACAACCGCCCGGCGUCGCACUUUGGCGCCCAGCAGUUUCCCCAUAAUUGUGCCACCGCCCGGGGGUGAGUUCUACCGCUCGGCGGUUUGCUUCUAAUCGCAAAACCACCCGACUUCCCUGCCCGAGCGCCAGACAGUGGCUUCUCCUCACAUUUGGCCGCCCAGUGUUGGAUUUUGGCGCUGGGCGGUUCCUAGACUCUUCUUUUCUUCAUGUUUCUUCUUCUUUCUUGAGUCUAAGACCUUCCAUCUUCAGUCCCAUUCUUCAUUUUCAUCAAAAACGCUGCAAAAUAAUGAAAAACAAGCAUAAUAUCUCUAAAACAACUUUUGACUCUCAACCGACUCAAUUUACGUGUUUUUCUUGAUUCUAAGCCCAUUCUAAGCCUUAAAGGGUGUAUUUUGAUCUCAAAUGAAGCAUGAAAAUAAUUGUUUUUCAACCCUUAUCAAUAUGCAAUCCAUUGUUGAAAAAGGAACCCUUCUUUCUUGAUAUGCAAUUCAUUAUUGAUACUUGCGAGGAACUACAAUUUUUAUAACUCUCUAGAAUAAAAACUUUCCUCGGAUCUCUUCAUCACUUAUCCAUCCAGAUGGGUUUGCGUUUCUAGUAACCCGAGCAACUUUCUCUUUUCUUCUUGGUGAUGAUGAUGAAGAAGCCAUGUUUGAAUAGAAUUCUCAAAAUGUCUUUCACAAUCUAGAGUUUUUAACUUAUGAACUUCUUAGCUUUUUAAAAAAAUACAAGGGAUACGUCGAAUUCUACAGAUAUUGGACGUUUUCUUCUUCAGCUUCGCGCUUUUUCGUUUCUUUGUUUCCUUUAUAACCUCCCAUAACCUUACCAUUAUAUUUUAAGAUAAGAUUUACAUUUUCUUUUAUAUUUUUAUAUUAUAAGUUUGUGUAAAUUUAUCUUGUAACAUUUACAUAUUAUAAAAUAUAAGAAACACUACAAGAAAAACUGAAUUUAUCUACCGAUAAUUAUAUGCGGAUUUUAAUUCGUAUGUAAUAUAAGUAUUACAUACGCAUUUUAUAUACGGAUUCAGUAAGUGAAUUAUAUACGGAUUUUUAUCUACCGAUAAUUCGUAUGUAAAAUCCGUAUAUAAAUAAGGCGCUUUGUGGUGGGAAAGUUUUCCAAGAAUUGAAUCUAUACGUAAUGAAAUUAUAUAUGGAUCUGAAAAAGAUUUAAUUAAGAAAAAGAUAAUGAGGUAUUCAUGAAACCUUAUCGCCCUACUUUACUCUACUUUCAUUGUUUCUUCUCUCUAAGCAAAGAACAAUCUCCCUUCGGCCUCUCACAAUUUCUCAACGAAGCACUUGUGUUUGAUGGGUGUUCGGCCUGUUGAAUCUGAAGAUAAGAAUGACUUUGAAUGUGCUCUAUGAGAGAAUGAGUUUUAUUAAUGCAGAAGAGUUGGCUUAUAUAAUCCUUACAUGACAGGAAAAAUAGACUAUAAUAGAGCCACUAUCUAAAUGGCUACAAAAGCGAAGUAAAAAACUCAACUAUCUUCUAAAUAAUAGGACAAUCUAAUAGCUCUUUAAUAUUGGAGCUUUAUUAACAGACACGCGUAAAUUAACUGACACACGUAAACAAUAAUUUGACUAACAUUCCCUCCCUAAGCUACAUGCCUCUGUUGCAUUUAGCUUACUUAAGUGGCUUUCAUAACUCCAAGCAUGCUUCGAAUCCUUUCAAAUUGAUCAAGUUUCAGAGGUUUGGUCAUAAUGUCCGCUACCUGUUCAUUUGAACUGCAGUAUGCUAGGUUGACUACUUGAUCAUUCACCAAUUCUCUAAGAAAAUGGAAUCUCACUGUAAUAUAUUUGCUUCUUCCGUGGAAAACAGGAUGUUUUGACUGUUGGAUAGUAGAGCUGUUGUCACAUAAUAUUUUUGUGUCCUUCUUUUCUUUCGAACCCAGGUGUUCUAAGAUUCUUCUAAGCCAGAUACAUUGACAUGCAUAGAGAGCUGCAACAAUAUAUUCUACCUCCGUAGUCGACAAACUUACUAUAGGUUGCUUUUUCAAAGCCCAUGAGACAGCUGCAGACCUAAUUAUGAAUACUGAGCCAGAUGUGCUUCUUCUACCAUCUAAAUCUCCUGCAUAAUCACUGUCACUGUAAGUUGUGAGACCACUUUUACCUUCCUUUUUAUAAAAUAAGCCAUACUCGGUGGUCCCCUUAAGAUACCUUAAGAGUCUUUUGGUUGUUGCCCAAUGUGACUCCUUUGGGUUAGCCAUGAAUCUGCUUAUCAAAUUUACUCCAAACAUCAAAUCUGGUCGAGUUACUAUCAAGUACAUGAGACUUCUGAUGAGUCAAUAUUUUUUUGACUUCACUUGAGUCAAUAUUUAUUGUGCUAGAAUUAAUCAGGGAAUUGUGCUUAAAUGUCCGGUAUUUUCUCGUUUUUGCUAAUUGCGCUUAAUUUGAUCAGAAAUUCUUAUUUUAAUUAAUUUGAAUUAUCUGAUACUAAUUAUUUGCAUUAUUAAUUGUAGGGAAAGUAUUGGUUAAUAUUUUGGGACAUUUGGAGAGCUGUCGCAUAAUUUAAAACUCUCAACAAAAGAAGUGUGUACAAGAAGGGUAGUAUGGGGAUUUUACACUUUGGGCUUAUGAAAAAGGAGGUGUGGAUUUCAUAUUUGGUGGUGCACAUGGAAAAGAGAACAUGCUGUUCAGCAGAAGCAGCACAUGCCAUGGCCCAGAAAUUUAAAUAGCUGCACAUUCACUUUAGCUUUUCUUUAUUUGGUGAAAGCAUUCGGCUGCAUGGAGUGUGUGCACGGCCAUACAUUUUUUUCCUGCAGCAGCUACACGCAUUUGGGCUUGGAGGUGUCACAGUCUUGAGCUACAUCGGUCCAACAUUAAACCAUGCACAUGUAUAGCAAGCAAACGGGCCCAGCUUGGGAGAUGCAAUGUCCACCAACACAUCAAACUUUCAUUCACAAGCAUGCUGCAGCUGUGAGGAGGUGUACACGGGUUGGCUGGAACACGAGUCCAGUUGAAGCAUCUCAUAUGGUCUUACAUGCCACGGCCUGCACCCAUUUAAUUCUUCAUACAACAAUCCAAGCACCAUACAGCUGAUUCCAAUUAACACACUCCUUCACGUGGGCUUCACACGGACAACAACCACAUGGAAGAAACGGCCCACCUGCAGCCUCCACGGUCCAUGCGCUUGGGUUUGGUGGUCCAGCAACCAGCAGAAAAUAUGGAGGUGCGUCCAGCAAGUUCUCGGCCUGCACAUGCACCUCAAUUCCGGAAGCAGCAGAUCCACAUGCAUCCACAUCCCAGCUACCACACAGCACACGCAUCCAAGCUUGCUCCUCCACGUGAAGCAGAAAAAUAUGUGCAGCCCAACACAUCCACCAAGCAGGUCUCAGACAGGAAUUGGAAAGCUGAUUUUAUUCAAUUGAAGCGGUGCAAAAGGCCAACACGUGGUGGUAGCAGAGCUCGGUCCAGCAAGCUUAAAGUUGCAGCCCACGUAACAGCAUCACCAUCCAGCUUUAGAGGUGCACAUGAAGAAGAUUGCUGCCCACACAGCUCUACGGUCAGGCCUCCACGUUGGCAUAGAAGAAGCAGCUGCACACACGGCCCAUGAUAUGGUUUUGAAGCUGGACGGUGCAUGGUUUUAGAAGUGGAGGUGUCAUGAAUAAGAUGACACCAGCAGCCCAUGGACAUCACUUGGCAGUAAGGCCUCAGUUGGAGAUCCCAACAUUUGGAGAAGCAACUUGGCAGCCACAUGGGAGAUGCAUCUAGCAAGAAACACAUUGCAUGCAGUAGCUCCACAUCUACAUGGUCCAACUGCAACCCUUGUGUAAUAAGAGUGUCCAGCGUUAAAGGUAGUAGCUGCAAUGGAGAAAGGAGCCUAUUAUCAAAAUACUACAUCCAAAGUAAACGGUGCAACCAGAAAAGAAGCAGCACAUCACAACCCAACUAAAGGGAGAGCAGCUUCCUUCCAAAAUUGUCUUUGGAGGUGCACGCUUCUAGAAAAAAAAAAAGAGAGCUCCAUGGUCUGGGCACAUGCGCUGAUGAUGGGCUGAAGUGUCUUGGCCUGUUAAAAUGAAAAAGGUUGGACCGUGUAGACUUUGAGGUGAGCGUCCCACACACGGGCCAAGCACCAGCAGCGACACUCUCCAUCUUAACAUGCUCCACGCAUCCAACAUGCUUCUUCAUGGUCCAGCAAUGCAGGUGCAGUAAGAAUUUUGAAAGAAGCCCACGGUCCUGCAGGAAGAGAGCCACAUGUGUGCUUAAAGAGAGGGUAGCCACUAUAUAAAAAGACAUGUUACCCUAGGGGAGAUUCCUAGGACCAUUCAGUCGUCACUUAUUUUGCAUGCUACUGUUAGGCUUGGCCGGAACGUUGCUGGAUUUGGAGUUUUUCUUUAAGUUGUUGGAUUUUGGUUGAAUGGAAGGAAGCUAGCUGCUGUCACGGUGAUGAAAAAGGGAUGUAGCCGUCACACAGAGGAAGGGAUAUACGUUUUCAACUUGAAAUGGAUUAUUUUGCUGCAUCCAGCCACCACCCCACUUAGUUAGUUUUUAUUUUAUGAUUUUCAUUGUUGGAAUGGUGAGCACGGAAGUACAGUAGUCACCAUAGAAUGAGUUUUUUACAUUGAACUUUUCCUUGAGAAUGUAGCACUGAAGUUUAAUUUAUUUUCUGUUUUUCUGCUUACUCGUUCGUGCUUCAAUGCUCAUUAUUACUGUCAUCUUUAUUUAAAAAAAAAGAAAGAAAACACCACAUUAAUUUGGUUUUGAAAAAGAGGAUGCGUGAGCAUGCAUUGCUGGAGUGAAAAGACCAUUUUCUAGCUUUUAGAACGGCGACACUCAUUUAAUUGCUCUGAUUUUAUUUAGAAGGAAGAACUUAAUUUUUCUUUUAGAAAGCAUGCACACGGUAACUAAUAUUUUGGGAGAAAAGAAAUUCAUUUUCAUUUCUUUUGGAAGCUACGGUCAAGGGUGAAAAGGUGGUGAUUCCGUUUUGCAAAUUUCAAAUUUCAUUUCAAUGUGCAUUUUAUUUUUAGUUCAAGCUUUGCAUUUUAAGAGCUUUAAUUAUGUCUGGAUAUUCGUCUAUUGCAGUGUUAGGUUUAUCAUUUUCAUUUACUUUAAUGUAAUCCAUUAUGUUUGAUAGUGAUAAUUUAACUGUCAUGUUAGCUUAAGUUAGUCGAGUUGGUUGUUAAUAAAGUUACUUUGCUUCCCUGAGACUUUUGAACUUUAAUUGUCAUACUGCUGCUUUGAUUCUGCUCAAUAUUCAAUCUGUUGUCUGUCUGCGAUUAGGUAUACGCUUAGUUGCCUAAUCGAUGUCAAUUCUCCGCUUAGUUGAUUAGACUGUAUGGUGGAUGAUUGAUUAAUUUGUGCAUUGCAUUCGCUUAGUCUGUAAGUUUGAAGACCGAAUUAGCCUUCGCUUAGUUGGGUGAUUCGUGUCGGAUUUGGAUUAGAGUAGCGUGUACUUGUCCUUGAUCUGUGAUUGGAAGCAUUGUAAUUAAGUUAAUGACCAACCGCUUUUAUUCUGUGCUUGAUUCCGUUUUUACAUUUCUGUUUGCAUCAACGUUUUAAAUUUAAUUCAUCUGUAGUCCCAAACCUUUCACAACCCCUCCCCCCACCUUUGUGUCUGACCUAAUUCUCGAACCACAUUUGGUCCUUGAGAGACGACCUAGGAGUCAUUUCCUAGGCUAUACUGCAUUCUUUUAUGCUCAUUAAAUUUUGCAUGGGGUGCGACACCCAUCAACUUCCAAUUACUUGUCUGAAUUUAGUUGCAUCUACUGCAACACCAUUUUCAUCCUUUGAAAGCAUGGUACUUGGAACAAUAGGAUUCCUUACAGGAUUACUAUCUGCCAUGUUGAAUUUGGCUAGAACCUCACGGGCAUAUCUUCUUUGACAAAUAAAAAUCCCAGCAUUACUUUGUAUGACUUCUACACCAAGAAAGUAUCUCAUUUUUCCCAAAUCAGUCAUGUCAAAUUCCGGCAUCAUUGAACUUUUGAAUUCCUCACACAUGUUCCUAUUGUUCCCAGUAAAGAUUAAAUCAUCAAGAUAAAGGCUAACUAUUAAAAUAUUACCAUUAUCCUUUUUGGUGAAUAACAUGUGUUCACUGGAGCAUCUUCCAAACUGUUCCUUUGCAAAAUAGGCUUCAAUUUUGCUAUACCAUGCUCUUGGUGCUUGUUUAAGCCCGUAUAAUGCUUUCUUUAACCUGUAUACUUGAUCUUCUUUUCCUUUCUUGAUGAAACCUGCAGGCUGCUGGAAAAAUAUUUCUUCUUGGAGGUCACCGUGUAGGAAUGCGCUUUUUACGUCUAGUUGAAACACUUCCCAACCACUUUGAGCUGCCAAAGCUAAUAAUACCCUCACAGUAUCAAGUCUAGCUACUAGUGCAAAUACCUCUGUGUAAUCGACUCUAUAUUUUUGGGCAUAACCUUUGGCCACUAAUCUGGCCUUAUGCUUUUCAAUAUUGCCACUUUCGUUGAAUUUCUUCUUAAAAAUCCACUUAACUCCAAUGGGUGUAAUACCUUUUGGAAGAACAACAAGCUCCCAAGUGUUGUUCCUUUCAAUUGCUUUCAUCUCUGCAUCCAUCGCUUCCCUCCAUCGCUUGCUUUUACAUACUUCUUCGAAGGAAUGUGGAUCAUCAACGUUAGUUGCUAUCAUUGCCAUGAAGUUUUCUUCUUCGGCUUCUAUUGAUAGAUUGGUUUCAAAAUCAGCCAUCCAUGUAGGUUGUUUCUGUAAUCUUUCACUUGUUCUUGUUGCCCUCCCUUCAACUUGAUUAUCCGCUGUUUCAUGUUGUAUAGGUUCUGCGUCUUCUUGUUUUGCCUCAGGUUCUGUGUCUUCUUGUUCUGCCUUGCUUUCCUUUUCUUCCCAAUCAAGGAUCUCUGCGUUAUCUUUUUCUACAUGUUCGUGCCAAUUCCAGCUUUUCUCUUCUUCAAAUACUACAUCUCUACUCACAAUGACUUUCUUUGGGAUGGGGUCAUAUAGUCUGUAGGCUUUUGACUCAUCACUAACACCCAAGAAGACACAUUUUUUGCUCUUGUUGUCUAGCUUACUUCUUUUCUGAUUUGGAAUAUGAGUGUGUGCUACACAGCCAAAUAUUCAAAAAUAGUCAACACAUGGCUUUAUGCCGCUCUAGACUUCUUUUGGAGUAUGCUCCUCUACUGUAGCAGUUGGACUUCUGUUUUGAACAUGUACACACCACCGAACUGCCUCGGGCCAGAAAGAUUUUGGAACCUGCUUCUCGUGUAACAUUGCUCGUACAACGUUCAAGAUGUUUCAAUUUUUGCGUUCAGCGACUCCAUUUUGUUGGGGAGUGUAGGCAGCCAUCAAUUGCCUGGAGAUACCCUGAUUAUUGUAGAAUUCAACAAACUCCUUAGAGGUGAAUUCACCACCUCUAUCUGUUCUUAAGCAUGAAAUGUAGGUACCCACCUCCUUUUCCACCCUAGUUUUGAAGCUUUUGAAGACAUUGAAGCUUUCGGAUUUUUCGUGCAAAAAAUAAACCCAAACUUUCCCUGAGUAAUCAUCAAUGAAGGUUAGAAUAUACCUUUUAUUACUGUGUGAGGAUGGUGUGAUGGGACCGCAAAUGUCUGCAUGGAUUAACUGAAGCUUCCUUGAGGCCUUCCACUUGCUUUGCUUUGAUAUGGAAUCUCGUUGUUGUUUUCCAACAAGACAAGUAGUGCAAAUCGUUUUGGCAAACUUCAGAGAGGGGAGUCCAAGCACCAUUUGUUUGCUUGCAAGAGUGCUUAACCCUUUGAAAUUAAGGUGCCCGAAGCAACUAUGCCAUAGUUGAGUUUGCUUUUCAAUAUCAUCAACAGCUUGGAAGCACAUGGGGUGUAGUGAUGCAUAAUUAAGCCUUUAUCUGGGUGGAAUAUCUUGCACGUGCCAUUUUGAAUUAGAAUGGCUAAACCCUUCUCUUGAAGUUGCCCUAUGCUCAGAAGAUUUGUCUUAAUUUCAGGAACAAGAUAGACAUCUGAUAUUACAUGGGAGAUGCCAUUAAUUUGCACUCGAAUGUUUCCUUUUGCAACCACGGCCAUUGUGCUGUCAUUUCCUAAUUUAAGAGUUUUGUUAAAUCCUUCUUCUAUGUCUACAAACCAAUGUUUGUUUCCAGUCAUAUGAUUACUGCACCCCGAGUUAAGAAACCAAUCCUCUUCUUGUACAGUUUGUGGUGACUCUUCAUACGCCACUAACAGAACUUCUUCUUCUGCCUCCUCAAGUGCAAAGUUGGCUUUCCUUAGGUCAUAUGUUCUCUAGGUUUGUAAGAUAGGCUGUUUUCUUUUUCAACUUGCUUUUCUAAACAAGAACCUACUAAGUGAGAAUUGAAGUGGAUGAAUCUUUUACUCUUGUGACCAUUGUAAUUUGUACUCCAUUCUAUCCAACCUUAGCAGUGACAGGAAAAGGUCCAAACACUGAUCCAUAAUUUGUGUUGUCUGUUGCCUAAUUUUCUCUUUAGAUUGUUUAUUCCUUACUAUUGGGGUACUCUGUUUUUUGUUGUUUGGGGUCCUCUACUAUUUUAGAUUUCAUAAAGUUAACAAAGUAGUGAUUUAAAUAUAGAAAUUUAAUUUUCUCUUGAACUUUUAUGUUUUCAUGAAAUGUUUAUUGUAAAAAGACUGGGAACAUAACACCAAUAUUUUACCAACUUCAGUAAAGAAAUAGUGAGUUCUGAAGCUAUUGAAGUCUCGUUUAAAUUGGGCAUCUACUGCUUCCUUAUGGAAGCAAAGCCAAAACCCAACUUUUCGGUAUUAAACCUUUUGCUUAAGAACUUGCUUUUAAUGAGUGACCAAAAUUAAUAUAAAAUACUAAGAAAUAAAACCUGUUGUCAUACAUGAGGUAGGAGUCAUGAAAUUUUUGUAAUAAUCAUUAAUUAAUGUUGUGUUUCAAUUUUCAACAUUUUAGAUAUUGGAAUAAUGUAAAGAAGAUGAACAAUUUAGAGCAUCUGAGGUAAAUGGAAGAAUCAAUACGAGAAUCAAUCAAUCGAGUUGGCCUAGAGAAGGUAAGACUUUGUUUCAUGUGUAGACUAGCCAUAUUGCCAUGUCAUCUUUAAAUGACCACUAACCAGGUAGUAAAUGUUGUUCUUUUUCUUUGUUAAUAUUUCUCGUUCAACUUUUCAAUAUUUUCUAAGGGUCAUGUGUCCUUAAAAAUUAGGGUGGGGUCCACCCUAAAAACCCUAAAGUUGUCAGGUGUCUUUUUACUAUUUGGGCCCAUCAUCUUUUUGUCAAAAAUUGGCCCAAUGUGCACAAGCUUGUCUAAAAAGUUUAAACAAUUAAAAUUACAAUGCAACUAAAAUUUAAAAUGUCUAAAUGGAGAGUCUUGAAUUUAUUUGGUGUCCUCCAAAUGUCCUAAAUUGUGUUUCCAAAAUUUUCCCUGAAAAUAAUAAUGCAAAUAAUUAGCUCAGAAAAUUCAAAUUAAUUAAAAUUAGAAUUUCCNGUCAAAUUAAGCAUAAUUAGGAAAAACGGGAAAAUACCGGAAAAUUAAGCACAAUUCCCUGAUUAAUUCUAGCACAAUAAACUAAGUGAAAUCAAUAAAAUAUCGACUCAUCAAAAUAGACCACACUUAGUCUUUUGCACUCCUGGGCAAAAUCAAGACGCAAAUGAGGGAACAGUUCAACGGACAUUAGGGAAUUGACACAGACUCAACACGCAUAAAACAAAGACUGACAAGGAAAGAAACAAACAGAAUUACAAUCCUCAAGAAAUCCGGACAAGGAAAAAGGAAGUAGAUAGUAUCCAACACAGAAUCAGAAAAAGCAGAUACUUAGAGAAAUCAUCCAAGCAAUUCAAAGCAUGGCAAAAUGAUCAAUCCGCUCAAGAGGUGAAUCAAAAGCAACAGAACCUCACAGAUGCACACAAUCAGUGUUUCUCUCAAGUGUCUAAGGUAAACAGUGUCAACUCAAUGCACUCAAGAAAGCAAGCAACAAUAGUCUUGGCAAGUCUCUAAUAUCAACACUUAAAACAUAUGCAUGUUCAAAUCAAAAGGUCUUUUAUGGAUGUAAUGGGGCCAAGGAAAAGGGAGGAUAAAUAUGGAUAAGAAGCUACAAACCAAAAGAAAUAGAGGAGCAAUGGGGAACAAGUGUAAACACAGUCAAAUAACACCCAAACCCUCUAAUGCAAUCCUCUUCUUGACUCCAUCAUUCACACAAAUUUUUUUAAUUUUUCUCUUUUUUUUUGUAUUUUUUUCUUUUUUUUUCAUCUUGUCUCUUUUCUUUUCUCUCAAUAUUGGACAUAACUCUAAGAGAAAAGAUACACCAUGUAUUUACAAAAACACAAACAAGAAGAGGAACCAAUCUAGACAAUUCAUCAGAAUCCCUAGGGAGACAACACUUAUUCCCAAAACAAUUCCAAAGCUCCAAAAUUCCCUAAGGUUAAGGUAAACAUGGUUUUUCACUUAGGGCUAGUGUAUAAGCUUCAAAACAAAGAAAUGGGGAAAGCAUAGGCUCAAAGGGGCUAUCAAAGGAUCAAAACAGGGUAGGCUCAUCUGGCUAGAGAGGCUUAACAACAAAACUGCCUUAAUCACUUUCAAACAUGCAUAUCCAUCGAGAAUUAUCAAAAAGAGUCAAGCCAAAGCAUAUGUGCAAGCAAUCAAGAGACAUAUCACACAUAAGAAAGAUCAUCAAAUGGCUCAAAUCUCUCACAAGGUAAUUGUCACAAUCAAAUCAACCUCUCAAACAUCAUAAUCAUCUUUCCAAGCAAAGAAAAACAAGGGUUUAAACAAAUCAGAGUAUCAAUGAAGUGAAAGAUAAAUCUACAACCUAAACCAAGUCCAGAGAUCACAAGAAACAUGUAAAACUAUACACAAGACAAAACAAAAUCUACCUAGAAAACAUAAAAUUUAACGCAGAAAAACAAAAACUAACAAAGAAAAAUCAGAGUGUCCCCAAAUAAAUAGACCACACUUAAACUACACAGUGUCCUCAAUGUGUCACAAGCAUAACAUCAACAAUCAAAACAGACUACAGAUCAAGACAAGUGAAAUAGAAGUUAGGAAAAGAGGAGAAGAAGGGAAAAGAAAACUCCCCUGGUCAUGGUGGUAGUUGCCAAUUUUGGACUUUUAGGGCGAUGUCUUCCACCACAGGAUUCAGCAAGGAGGUGUUGAGGAAGAACUGCUUCAUCCUCCAGAUUUGAUCGAGCAGGGAGAUAUCCUCCACAAUUGGAUCUAAGAAGAAAGGACUGUUGAUGAGCAGGUUCAGGUGGUGCCUAUUAAUCUUUAAACUGUCCACACCUUUGUCUUCCACCAUGGGUGUGUGUUGAUCAAACUCAUGUGUACCUCCUGCAACAUGGUUAGUGCAAUAUGGUUCCACAGAAAUAACAUGCAGGGGUAUAACACCCAAUCCCAGUGUAAUAGGCUGAACCUCAAAUAAACCCUCAAAACAUGAAUCAAUUUCAAAUGUAGAAACAAUAUCAACAACAGUCUCAGAUUCAUGUUCAUUGCAUGGAGAACAAACAUUCAAAUGUGAUAUCAAAUAGUGGUUCUCAUCUUGCAGAGAGGUAGAAUUAAAAUCAUGCUCAUCAACAAUAUAAUCAUCAACAUAUCAUCAGCAUAAUCAUCAACAUCAGAAUCAAUCAUAGGUAUGUUUACCUCCGCUUCACUGAAGAUUUGUAGAGUGGUGGAAGGUGAAGCAGGUCUACCUAUCUCAAAAGUGUUGCUCAUAUCUGCCUGGUCCUCCAAAUCUUCUUCAGUCUCCUCAAGUGCAAGAGUAGGGGCAUAGGAGGAUGGGAAAGUAGGUGGCGCAAUAGUAGAUUCAUGACUAUGCUCCUCAUCUCCUAUGUGGAUGGCAUCAACAUCAUCUGGAAGCUGAACAGCCUGAAAUGGUGAUUCCUCUGAAACAUAAGACUGUUCCUAAGUGAGCUGAGUGGCCAUCUGCCUACUGAAACUACAUGUUCAUUUGCUGGAACUGAAUGUUCUGAAUAGUCAUCUGCUCUAAUAACUCCUUUAAUGUAGGCUCAAAAGUAGAAGGUUGAGGAGCUAUUUGGGGAGGAGCAUCAUAUUGCUGACUCUGGUAUUGCUGGACUGGUGGAGGCAUAGAAGUAUUCUGAGAUGGUUGAUAUUGUUGUGAAGCGUCAUACCAUCCCAAGCUAGGGUCAUUCCAUCCAGGAUCGUUGUUGUAACCAUACUGAGCAUGGAAGAAUUCAUCAAGAACAUAUGCUUAAUAUCUUCCCAACAAGUGAUGGAUUCUGGAGGAAGACCAUAAAAUCAAUCCCUUGCUUCUCCUUGUAGUGAAUGCGGAAAUGCCCUUAAAAACAUGUGAUCAUCAAGGUGAGGAGGUUUCAUUAAAGAGCAAAUGGUGUUGACUCCUCCCAAUGUCUGUGAGGGCAUUCACCUGCAAAACCAUGAAACAUAGGCAGCAAAUGUGUUAGUCCAGAGGUGAGAACGAAAUGAACAUCAUCCUCAUGAAGUGAAAUUGGCUCCGAAAGAGCACUCUCAUGAGUGGGAGGAUGAGUCAUAUUGUUCUCAGCAAAGAAAUCAACAGAGUAUACAUCACAAUCAUCAGAGUAACAUCUAGAAGGAGAAUCAUGAUCAUAGGCACUGACAGAAUAAGCAUUAUUCAUAGAAUCAAAAUAGGUAGACAUGUAGAAAAAGGGGGGGAGGAAAGAAGAAUGGAAUGAAAAUAUGCAACUAAAGCUAUCUAAAUGCAACACACAUGACACGACAUACAAGACGGAACAACACACUCACAACACGAGACAAAACACAACACACACAAACACAACAAAAGACCUAAAACCAAAAUUUGAUGGGUGUCGCGGCCCAUACAAAUUUGAUUGCAUAUGAAAAAUGCAGUAUAGCUAGGGAAUGACUCCUAGGUCGUCUCUCAAGGACCAAACUACGAUUCAGAAAUUUAGGUCAAACACACACAGUGGGGGGGGUUUUGGUGAAAGUGGUUUCGUGAAUGCAAUUAUACUAAAUUAAAAAUAAAAAUUAAACAUGUCCGAACAUCAUUGAAAGCAUGAAAGAGAGUGAAAAUGCUAAACCUAACACUGUAAUAAACAAAUAUCCAAACAUAAUUAAAAAUAUUAAAGUGCAACACUAAAUUAAAGAGAUUAAAAGCAACUCAAGAUACUUCGUAAAAUAUUUAAAAGCAAAAGAAAUAAACAAACAUAAAUUUCUUCUACCGUGACUACAUGUGCAUCUACUAAAGAAAUUAAAUUGUAAAUGGACUAAAAUUAACCUCUGGGCCGUGACCUCCCCUUACAACAAAACCAUUUCAUUUUCUUAAUUGUAAGUCUCAAUUAUUAAAGCUAGAAUUGGUUCCAGCCGUGACACUCUUCCUCCUCGUGAAUGAUCACUUGUUCCAAGGAAAUUGAAUGUUUCUCCAAAGAAAUAAAAACCACCGAAUGUGACCCCUGCAGCUGCCAAUGUAUGGACACAUUACAGCAGCACAUCUCCCUUUUAUCCACCAUUAAAAAUUGCCAACAUUGUUCCCAUCCAGAGCUAAUGAAUAAAACGUCCCAAAGCUAAAUAAAGAAAGAGUGUAGGCUGCUGCAAAGUGAUGGACGUCCCAUCCUUUCUUCAAAAUAAAAUUAAUCUACCAAUAAUUGCUUACUUGACUGCUGGUGGUACCUUUUCCAUUGAACAAAAGAAAUAAAAUGCUACCCUACCAAGCGUCACAUCACCAAGGAAAUAAAAAUGCUACUUAAUUAGCUCCAAACAAAACUGACGCUGCACCCCUUUUAGCAAUCAAAUUCGCCAAUCUUCGUAAGCUACUUGCUGCAGCGCUGCACCAUUCUUUUCAAAUCACCAUUUCAUCAAUUUUCUAAAAAGCAAAAUAAAGAAGCUACAUGUAGCAGUUGUCACUGUCCAGAAUUGUCACUCCUUGACUUGCCUCCCAUCAAUCAACACCGGCAGCAAAUGCAAGAAGGGAAUAAGCUUACAUAAAUGCAUUCAAAUGAAAAUAAAACACUUUUUAUAUUCAACAAAUGAUACCACCGUACUGCAAUGAUAGUUUCAAGAAAAAAAUUAGUUCAACUUGAACACAAAAUAAAAAGGUAAGGAAAAUGUGCUUUCUUCAUUUCAUCAGAAAAACCGUGAGCCCUUCCAAAAGCUAUCCAAGAAAAUGUUCAAAAUAAAAAAGAUAAAAGCAAUGGAGUCCCUCUGCCACGUUCUAGCAAAACGAAAAUAAUGAAAAAAAAUCCUCUCAAGCAAAUGAUGGUUGCAGCUUGUAAUCCAUUCAACCAAAAUAAAAAAUUAGCUCCAUGGGAAAAGAAAAUGUUCAAAGCCUAGUGGUGCCCUCCAAAAUCUGCCGAGAAUGCUCCUUGCAAUGUGACAGCUAGUGCCAUUUUCUAAGGGUCAUGUGUCCUUAAAAAUUAGGGUGGGGUCCACCCUAAAAACCCUAAAGUUGUCAAGUGUCUUUUUACUAUUUGGGCCCACCAUGUUUUUGUCAAAAAUUGGCCCAAUGUGCACAAGCUUGUCUAAAAGGUUUAAACAAUUAAAAUUACAAUACAACUAAAAUUUAAAAUGUCUAAAUGGAGAGUCUUGAAUUUAUUUGGUGUCCUCCAAAUGUCCUAAAUUGUGUUUCCAAAAUUUUCCCUGAAAAUAGUAAUGCAAAUAAUUAGCUCAUAAAAUUCAAAUUAAUUAAAAUUAGAAUUUCCGAUCAAAUUAAGCAUAAUUAAGAAAAACGGGAAAAUACCGGACAAUUAAGCACGAUUCCCUGAUUAUUUCUAGCACAACAAACUAAGUGAAAUCAAUAAAAUAUUAACUCAUCACUUGUGAACUUUGGGCCAAUUUUGACAAAAAUAUGAGGGGCCCAAAGAGUAGGAUGACACUUGUCACCCUAGGGAACUAACAGUUGUCACACUCUCAUUUUUCUGAUAUGGUUGGAAAGUUUAUGGUUUUGGAAGGAGCAUUUUUCUUUAAACAUGGCUGCAGUGCUUGAUUUUGGAUGAAUGAAGAAUCAAUUGUUUGAUUUUUAUUUUGUGAGUGCACGAUGAUAAAAGAUUUCUUCCAGCACAUUUCAUUUUCUUUUGGGUAGAAGAAGCACACUUUUCACUUUCUUUCACGAUACUGAUUGGUGGGAGACUUGGAGAGGACGUUCCAAGAGAGCUGGCAACCGAGUGUGUAGAGUUUUGUGGUUUCAUUUUACUUGUAGAAUGCAAAGUAUAUUAGGUGGAGUGUAUGAUGAUGGGACGUUGAUGGCUGCAAGAAGCAAUGUAAUCCCUUUUCUUUUAGAAAGAAGUAAAUAGGUUAUUUGAUGGGAGUUGGUCAGCAAGGCAUCUACGACCUUGAAUUUUAUUAUGCUUUUAAGUGAUUUCAUUUCAUUGCAUUUGUCAGAGCAGCACAUGAUGGCUUGAGUGGUGUUGAUUGAUUGGCUUAUGUUAUGGCUGAAACCAUUGCUCAUUUUAUUUGAUUUAGAAAUAGUGAAAAGAUUCAUUGCUUGGUGAAAUGGUGCAGCUGCAACUCACGGGAGAAGCAUAUUCAUUUUUCAUUUUUUUUAGUUUGAUUCCAGCACCGUGCUAAAAGAAUUACGUCCAGGGAGAAUUGAUUUUUAUCAUCUUUGCAGGGCACACACGUGAUUGAUUCUUUCUUUCUUUGAUGAAGAAAGUGGUGAUUUUCUUUUAUAUUCAUUUUCAACUUGGGAAAGGCACGACUGCCACAUCUUGUUUUAAGAAUUAGAAAUUCAGUUUUCAAUAUGAAAAGGAUGAUUUCAAUUAGAGAAGAGGUGGUGCCACGACUUGAUCCUGUGGUGAAUUGGUUUUACAAUUUUCAAGCUUCAUUUCAAUGUGCAUUCUAUUUUUAGUUAAAGCCUUGCAUUUUGAUAGCUUUGAUUAUGUCUGGAUAUUUAUUUAUUGCAGUGUUGAGUCUAGUAUUUUAUUUUGUUUAAAUGUUGUCUAGUAUGUUUGGUAGUGUUAAUUUAAUUGUCAUGAUAGCUCAAGUUAAUUUGGUUAGUCAUUAAUAAAAUUGCUUUGUUUCCUUGAGAUUUCUUGGACUGUUCUUCUGUUUAUUCUGCUCUGCCUGACAUUCUAUGAAAUAUGACUGUGUUCUUGCAAUGGGUAUACGCUUAGUUGCCCAAUUGGUGAUUGUAUCUUCUCUUAGUUGAUCAAUCUGUAUAGAACACAUCCGAUGGAAUAGGUGUGUUGCGUUCACUUAGUACGCGAUUAUGAUAGCAUGAUUAACCUUCGCUUAGUCGGUUAGCUGUGCUGGAUUAGAGGCUAGAGCAGUUUAUUCAUGAGACUCUUGCACUUAAAUUGUCAUACUACUGCUCUGAUUUGGCUCAAUAUUUAAUCUGUUGUGUGCUUACGAUUGGGUAUACGCUUAGUUGCCUAAUCGGUGUUUAAUCUUCGCUUAGUUGAUUAGACUGUAUGGUGCAUGACUGAUUAAAUUUGUGCAUUGCAUUCGCUUAGUUUGGAAUUUGAAGACUGAAUUCGCCUUCACUUAGUUGGGUGAUUCGUGUCGGAUUGGAUUAGAGUAGUGUGUACUUGUCGUUAAUUUAUGAUUGGAAGCAUAGUAAUUAAGUUAAUGACCAACCGUUCUUAUUUUGUAUUCAUUUUUGUUUUAACAUUUUUGUUUACAUCUGUGUUUACAUUUUUGUUUGCAUCUGUGUUUUAAUUUGAUUCAUCCGCAUUCACAAACCUUUCACAAACCCCUCCCCCCUACUUCGUGUGUGACCUAAUUCUCGAACCGCAAAAUUGGUCCUUGAGAGAAGACCUAGGAGUCAAUUCCUAGUACUAUAUUGCAUUCUUUUAUGCACAUUAAAUUUUGCAUGGGGUGCGACACCCACCAUCGACCUAAGCCAAAGGUCGGGAUGGGUGAUAACGGUUUAAAACACAAUUAUUUGUGAAGUCAUUCUGAUACUAAAAACACCCUUUUUCACUUAGAAACUUGCUUGGACUCAUGCUUUUGCUUUAGUCUUAUAAAUAAGAGAGUUGAGGUGGAACUUGAUGAUUUUUUGACUAAUUCCCUUGAUUUUGUAGGCUAUCGUAAUGGUUUGAAGGAAGAAUUAAAGUACCAAACAGUUGCAAUGCUGAAAAGUCAACCAGAAUGCAGAAAACUCAACUAGUCAACUACAAAAGUCAACUAGUGAACAAGAAAAAGUUAACAAACGCGCCAAAAAAUUAUCACUGGUCGCCCGAGCGACGGAACUCGAAGCUUGGGCAUCCAAAUGAGCGCCUGGGCCUUACAUGAGAUCCAAUUCUCGCCCGGGCAACCUCCUUGGAUGCUUGGGCGACGGUUUCAGUGGACCGGGCCCUGUUUCUGCUUGGUUUUUUAUUCUUUUGGACCGGGCCGCACUUUGGGACACUUCUGGCACUAUUUAAGGGACACUGGGGCUUUAGGUUUUGCAUCCCUGGCAGAAGAGAGCAUACAACACACUCUUAGCCAAUUCUUAGUCUUCCAUUCUUCUUCUUUCUUCCAUUAUUCAUAGGGUUGCCCCAUGUCUAUGGGGAACUAAUUUCUAUUUGUUGUUGGGGAAUGAUGUAACCUUGUAAACUAUCAUGUAUUUGAAUUGAUUCCUAAUUAUAUAUGCUUUAUUUCGUUAUUUGUUAAAGUAAUUCAUCUGCUUUAUUCUUGCUUAUACAAUAGCAUUAUUUGUGAGUUGCAUGAGUGUCAGGAGGUUCCUUACAAUUCAUGUCCUUGUUGAAUUACUUCUAAGGGUUAUAUAGCUCAGGGAUGAGUAUGAGUCUUAGUCGUCUUAACCUCUUGAUCUUCACAUCUUUUUACCAAGAAUGCUAGGAAUUGUAUGAACUGGUAAUUAGGGAUAGGCUUAUUGACUGAGGGAUCGGGUUUAAGUGUUUUAGUGAGGGACGUUGGACUUAAUGAAUAAAGAGGAAUUCUUAUACACAUGAGAGGGAACUUGGUGAAAUUUAAACCUAACAACAUACUCAUCUCAUAUAAAUCAACCUCCAUUCAUCUCUGUGCUCUUUUGCCAUUGAUCAAUUUUACUUUGCUUUAUUUUAUUCUCUUUUCAAUACAAAACAUGAUCUCUUUUUACUUUUAAAGUCUUAAUUAAUCUUGUUUUCACUCAACUGUUCAGCGUAGAGAGUCCUCUGGGACACGAUACUUGGUCUUACCAUUUUAUAUUACUUGUGCGACUUCGUACACUUGCCGAUUUACCCCAACAAGUUUUUGGCGCCGUUGUCGGGGACUCACGGUUUAAGCUAUUCUAUUUGUGUGAAUCUUGAUUAAUUUUUGAUUUAUUUUAUUUUUCCCAUUUUUAUUUUAUUUUUUUUAAAAAAGCCCCUAAUUUCCUUUCUUGUUUUAAUUUUGUGCUAACAAUCUCUCUCUAGAAUUUUUGUGUAGGCGUCACAAUAACAUCUAACAGGAUGCAGUUCUACCAAGAUGAUUUCAACUACUGGUGGGAACCUUACCCAAGCACAAAUCAAAAUCAAUAUGAGCAACAUGGAGGACUAUUUAGUAGUCCACCACAAGCUGACAGCACUACAAAGCUUGAGGAAACCCUCCAGCAGCUCUUGUAAGACUCUAUCUCAUUUCGAAAAAACAUUCAGGCCUCAUCACAAAAUUUUGGGGCUUAGUGCAAGGUCCUAAGUCAGAUGCUGAAUGAGAUCACAAACAACGAGAGGCCUGGUAAGGAAUGCAAAGAUGUUGUCAUUGAAAGUGACAAAGCUCCAGAUGAGGAAAAAGAAAAAGAAGAAAAGAGAGAGGAUGAGAGAAAAAUAGAGAGAAAAGAAGAAGAGAGUUUGAGUGAUAAAGAAUAAGAAGAAGAAGAGAAAGAGGAAGAGAUAAAAAUAGAGAGAGAAGAAGAAGUAAGUUUGAGUGAAAAAGAGAAAGAGGUAGAAAAGGAAGAAGAUGAGAGAGAAGAAAUACAAUUUUUGAGUGAAAAAGGAGAAAGAUGGAGAGGAAGAAAAAGAAGAGGUUGAGAGAGAAGAGAAAAAAAUUGAGAAAAGUCCUUUGUGCCCUAAGGAGUGUCCCAAGGAGAAAAAGAGAGAGGGGAAAGAUGAAAGCAAAAAGAAAGAAUCAUACGAAAAACCCCUUCCUCACCCAAAAAAGGAUCAUAAGAAGAAAAAGGAAAAACAGUUUGAGCGUUUCAUGGAAAUCUUCAAGAAAUUGGAGAUUAAUGUUCCUAUGAUUAGGUCACUUCAGCAGGUUCCUGUGUAUAUUAAAUUCCUAAAAAAUUCAACAAAAAGAAAAAAUAUCUUGAAUCUAGUCUCUGAAUUUUUUAUUCUAUUUUUUUUUCUUUUAUUUUAUUUAAUUUCAUUUUAUGUGAUUUUAUUUAAUUUGAUUUAAUUUUAUUUUGUUUGAUUUGAUUUGAUUUGAUUUGAUUUGAUCUUAUUUGAUCUUAUUUGAUUUGAUUUGAUUUGUUUGAUUUUAUUUUAUUUUAUUUUAUUUUAUUUAUCUUAUUUUAUUUUAUUUUAUUUUAAUUUUUUUAUUUUUUUAUUUGUGUGGUUUGGAUUUGAUUUUGUUUUUGUAUUUGACUUUUUUUUUUUAGGUUAUGUGCUGCUUCUGAUGGUAGUACUGACAGCGUCUACUGAUGGAUGCUAAUGAAGAAGAGAAAGAUUAACAUCUACUGAAGGAUGUUAAUGAGAAAGAUUUGCAUCUACCGAUGGAUGUUGGAAGAGUUUGAGAGAGCAUCUAUUGAUGGAUGCUGCUAUGGAAGAGGAUGGUGACUAGACAUCUAUUGAUGGAUCUUAGGUGAUUAGGCAUCUACUGAUGGGUGCCACUGAAGAUAAGAAAGAUUGGUGUCUUCUGAGGGACACCAUGGAAGAUUAGCAUCUACUGAUGGAUGCUAUGAUGGAAACUGGGUCAAGCUAGUGACGUUAAAGAAGCGCUUGCUGGGAGGCAACCCAGUUCUCUGAACUUUUAAUUUUUAUUUUUGUUUUAAUUUUUGAUUUUGUCUAUUUCAUUUUAAUUUAUUUUUAUUGUGCUCUGCUUGAAUGAACUGAACUGCUUUGAUUCAAUUGUGUGAUAAGCUUGCUUUUUGAAAACUCUAGUGUUCAAUUGAAGUUGAGAUGAUGCAUGAUGUGCUAUAAGUGAUGAAUCCCAAUUUGUGAGACAGGUUCUUGAAAUAAAGUUUGAUUAAAAUACUGAGCAGGUUGUUUUUCUAAAUUUGAGAACUUGUGAGUUUACCUGUGUGAGUUUUGAGCUUUAGAAUUGUUUGAAAUAAUUGUUUUCACUUUGGAAGCAUGAAUGAUUUUGAACAAAUUUUCUGUGAUUGAACUACUUGUUUGUAGGUUCCAUGUGAUCAAGGCCAUCUUUUGUUAUCCCUUAUUCUUUUGGCCUUCGAAAUAUUUUUCCCAUUGAAAAGAGAACAAUUUGUUCUAACCUUUGAACCUUGAGCCUGAAAUGUCUUGAAAAACCUUUUUGAAAAAUCUUUACCUUGAGUUAAGUUGAGAACAUUUGAUGAGGUACUGAUAAAGGUUCAAGUUUGGGGUUACUAGGAAACAACCCACCUCUCUAGGUAGUGAGCAAUCGAAAGAAAAAGCAAGUGACAAGAAAAGGCAAAAGAAAAGAAAAAGUGAGAAAAGAAAAAAAAAAUUCAAAAAGAAAAGAAAGGGCUCACUGCAAGGGAAAGCUGGGAAACAGGAAGAAAGUUUGUUUUAAUGGUAUUUACACAAAUGUCUCUUCUGACUCAAGGAACUUUGCUGACCAGAAAAACCAAUUUCCAUCUUAGCCCAGCCAAGUUACAAGUCAUGAAAAACCAUUGUGAUGAUAACCUGCUUGUGAGUAUGUUUGAUUGUGGUUAAAUGAAAGGCAAAAUUAAUUUGUGUGACAUUGUGGUAGCAGAGAGAAACACCACACCAUACACCUGUGACUUGAGUGAGACACUUUUGAAUGCUUGAGUGAUAUAUUUUUGAGUGCUUGAGUGAAAUGCUUUCCCCGAUGAGGAAUAGUUCUCUGAAUUUAUGAUUGCAUCUUUGCUUGGUUGAUUGAUCAUUUUUAAGGAUAGCACCUGUUGGAAGUGUUUGAAGCAUCAGAUUGACUUUAAUUAAAUUUAGGCAUCUGCACAUCUUGACUGAGAUCUUUAUGCUGAAUUGAUAAAAGUGAUUCCUUGUCUUGAAAGAGAAAGUUCUUGAAAAAGUUGAGUCAUUGUAGUAAUUGUUCUGAAAAGCUGAGUUACAUUCUGUUUGCUUGAGGACAAGCAAAGUUCUAAGUUUGGGGCUAUGAUAACGGUUUAAAACACUGUUAUUUGUGAUGUAAUUCUGAUACUAAAAACACCCUUUUUCACUUAGAAACUUGCUUGGACUCAUGCUUUUGCUUUAGUUUUAUAAAUAAGAGAGUUGAGGUGGAACUUGAUAAAUUUUUGACUAAUUCCCUUGAUUUUGUAGGCUAUCGUAAUGGUUUGAAGGAAGAAUUAAAGUACCAAACAGUUGCAGUGCUGAGAAGUCAACCAGAAUGCAGAAAAGUCAACCAGUCAACCAGAAAAAGUCAACAAACGCAACAGAAAGUUACCAUUGGUUGCCCAGGCGACGGCCCCGACGCCCGGGUGACGGAACUCGAAGCUUGGGCGUCCAAAUGAGCGCCUCGGCCUUACAUGAGGUCCAAUUCUCGCCCGGGCAACCUCCUUGGACGCCUGGGCAACAAUUUUAGUGGACCAGGCCCUGUUUCUACUCUAUUUUUUAUUCUUUUGGACCGCACCGUACUCUGGGACACUUCUGGCACUAUUUAAAGGACCCUGGGGCUCUAGGUUUUGCAUCCCUGGCAGAAGAGAGCAUACAACACACUCUUAACCAAUUCUUAGACUUCCAUUCUUCUUCUUUCUUCCAUUAUUCAUAUGGUUCCCCCAUGUCUAUGGGGAACUAAUUUCUAUUUCUUGUUGGGGAAUGAUGUACCCUUGUAAAAUCUCAUGUAUUUGAAUUGAUUCUUAAUUCUAUAUGCUUUAUUUCAUUAUUUGUUAGAGUAAAGUAAUUCAUCUGCUUUAUUCUUGCUUAUACAAUAGCAUUAUCUUUGAGUUGCAUGACUACCGGGAGGUUCCUUACAAUUCAGGUCCUUGUUGAAUUACUCCUAAGGGUUAUAUUUCUCAGGGAUGAGGGUAUGAGUCUUAGUCGUCUUAACCUCUUGAUCUUCACAUUUUUUUACCAGGAAUGCUAGGAAUUGUUUGAACUGGUAAUUAGGGACAUGCUUAUUAACCGAGGGAUCAAGUUUAAGUGUUUUAGUGAGGGACGUUGGCAUUAAUGAAUAAAGAGGAAUUCUUAUAUACAUGAGAGGGAACUUGGUGAAAUCUAACCCCAACAACAUUCUCAUCUCAUAUAAAUCAACCUCCAUUCAUCUCUUUGCUCUUUUGCCAUUGAUCAAUUUUACUUUGCUUUAUUUUAUUCUCUUUGCAAUACAAACCAUGAUCUCUCUUUACUUUUAAAGUCUUAAUUUAUCCUAUUUUCACACAACUGUUCAGCGCCGAGAGUCCUCUGGGAUAUGAUACUUAGUCUUACAAUUUUAUAUUACUUGUGCGACUCAAGACACUUGCCGAUUCGCCCCAACAAUGGGCUGACCAGAGCCAAAGGUAUGAUAGAGGACUAUCUCCUGAAGAAUAAUAUAGGAAAUUAAAUAAAUUGUAGUUUUCUUAUAAUUGCAAACAAUUUGUUUCUAUUUUUCAAGUUAUUUUUGGACCCAAUGUCAUUGAGCUUUGUUUUAGGGUUUCCUAGGUGCCUUAAACAUUUAUACCUAUGUAUAGGGGCAUAGGACUAUCUGCUGAAAAAUAAUAUAGGAAAUUAAAUAAGUUGUAUUUUUCUUAUAAUUCCAAACAAUUUGUUUCUAUUUCUCAAGUUAUGUUUGGACCAAAUGUUAUUGAGCUUUGUUUUAGGGUUUCUUAGGUGCGUUAAACAUUUAUACCUAUAUAUAGAGGCAGAGGACUAUCUCCCAAAGAAUAAUAUAGGAAAUUAAAUAAAUUUUAUUUUCCUUAUAAUUGUAAACAAUUUGUUUCUAUUUUUCAAGUUAUUUUUGGACCCAAUGUCAUUGAGCUUUGUUUUAGGGUUUCUUAGGUGCCUUAAACAUUUAUACCUAUAUAUAAGGGCACCAAAUACAUAUGUAGACACUUUGGAAGUCAUAAUAUAUGCAUUUGCAGUUUUGACAGAGGAUUUUCUUGGUUCUUGGUUUAGAACUCAGAUUCUUAUCGAAGAUUAACAUCUUUGUGGCGAAUCUUCCUUUUCUUAUCAAUAUGCUAGGUUGUGGCGAAUUCUUAUCAAAUAUUAACUUUUUGACAAUAGACUAUGUGUAACUAUUUUAUUUGUUUGUAUAUUUGAAACGGACCAAUCACGAGCUACCACAUAAGCGGUUAUAAAAAAGUCGAAUUUAAAAAGUCGACGACGAUAAAAAUUCAAACCAACUCUUAGACCAAAAAUUUGGCCACAUUCAAAUAAAUUACUUUGAAAAAUUUAAUAGUUAUAAUAAGUAAUUAGUAUAAAUAAUUAAGCUUUAAAAAAAAUAUUAUGAGUAACAUUAUUAGAAAAGCAAAUUUGACCUCUCUCAUGCAUUAUUUCUUUACUUUUUAUUAUGUUAACAAACAUGUGAUCAAUAUCUAGCCAUGUUGUCAUUAAUGUCACAUAAAUAAUCAAUAAAAGCUCAUUUGCAUUUCUUAAUUUAUAAUUCUUGGAAUAAAUUCUUUAUUACUUAGAAUCGAUUAUAUUAACAUAGCAAAAUUAAAAGUGGAAUUAUAUGAAUAUAGAGGGGCACAUCAAACUUUUUAACUUCCACACCUCUAAAUCUCACCUUCUUCGUGGGUGAUUGAAAAGUACACAAAUUUUGGGGGGCGGAACAUCAAUUUGUUCUUAUAUGAAUCAAACAAAAUUUAUUACUUUUUCUCUGAAUGAUGUUUGAACAUCGAAUUCAACUGGGCUUCGAUGUUCAUACAAGAUGGUGGAGUGUGGCAAUUACUAAGCAUAAUUACACGAUGUACUUCAUCGGUUCAUCUAUAAAUAUAGCUUGCCUCACGUAAUCCCUUGCCUCCUGUUUCCCUAUUGAACAUAUUAGGAUUCAUGUUUUUUAUUUCGUUUGCAUUUUCUUUUCCUUAGAUUUCCAAGCAUUUCUCUACUUCAAACUGCAGUUUGCUAACUUGAAUUUGAAAGUGGCUCAUUCAUCAUCAUUUCAUAUGAAGGGGCCCUUUCAAAUUCAAGUUAACAAAAUGUUUUUUAUAGUACAAAAAUGGUUAAGAUAUCUUACUAAAAGGGAAGUGCUUAGGAAAAAGAAAUAUGGUUCAUAGUAUGUUUAAUGCUGAAACAAUUUGAAAUUCAUAAGUGUUAACAUUUUCCUCUGCUUUUCCCCCCAUGCCUUCAUGGAUGACAACUCCACCUUAGUUAUCAUUCAACAUAACAAAUUAAUAUUACGUAGAACUAUAGAGGUCUUCGACAUUCUCUUCAACCAGAAGCCAAAGGUUGUGCCCUUUUUAUUCUUUUUUUCCUUUAACUUUUUAAUCAUCCAAUAUAACGUCGACCUCUGUAGGGUUCGACGUUAUGGGAAUGAUGUUUGAACGUCGAAUUCGGGUGGGCUUCAACGUUCAUACAAGUUACAAAGAAAAAUUACACGAUGUACUACUUUUUCAUGAUCUAAUGUAUAUCAUCGGCUCAUCUAUAAAUAUAGCUUGCAUUUCAUGUAAUCCCUUGCUUUUUGUUUCCGUAUUGAACAUAUUACGAUUCAUGUUUUUUAUCUCCUUGGGAUUUUCCUUUCCUUAGAUUUCAAAACAUGUCUGUUCUUUAAAUUUCAAUUUGCUCACUUCAAUUUCAAAGUGCCGCAUUCAGGCCUCAGUUCAUAUGAAGGUGGCCUUUGAAAUUCAAGUAAACAAAAUGAUUUAUAUAGUACAAAAAUAGUUAAGUUAUCUUACUGAAAGGGAAAUGCUUAGGAAAAAAGAAAUAUGGUUCAAAAUAUGUUUAAUGCUAAAACAAUUUUAAGAUCUAAAAUAAUUAUAUAAAAAGGUUGUUCAACUUAAUCAUUUAACAAUAUAUGAAUCAUUUUUUAAAUUGUCUUGGAGUUGUCUUCUACCAUUAGAUUUUAGAGCUAUUUGAUUUCCUAUGGUGGAAACAACUUCAAUACAUAUUAAAUUUAUACAGUUGACGUCGAAUAUUAGUGCAUUCGAUGCAAAAGAUUGGAGAUUUACAUCAAAUUUGUGAGAUCAAUGACGUCUUAUAUCAUAGAGGAUUUCUAAAAUAAAUCCCCUUAUACAAAACACAAAAUCUAAAAUGAAGACCAAAGAUGAUGGAAUACAUUAUAACAAAAAUCAGGAAGUAAAAAAAAUAAAAACAAGCAAAACAAUGGAGAAUGUGUUUGAAAUUCAUAAGUGUUAACAUUUUCCUCUAGUUUUCCCCCAUGCCUUCAUUGAUAACAAAGAAAUGUCUUCGUUGAGAGGAGGAAUUGAAGGAAAACCAAAGGAAAAAGUUAACAUGGAUUUGAUUACCAAAGUUAUGUAGGGUAAGUUUUCAAAGGGUCCACUUGAAAUUCAUAAGUAUUAACAUUUUCCUCUUCUUUUCCACCUUGCCUUCAUCGUUAGCAAAUAAAUGUCUUCGUUUAGUGAAGGAAUUAAUGGAAAAGAAAACGAAAAAGUUAACAUGAAUUUGGUUAUGAAAAUUAUAUAGGGUAGGUUUUCAAAGGGUCAAAUUGAAAUUCAUAAGUGUUAACAUUUUCCUCUGAUUUUCCACAUGCCUUCAUCGUUAACAAAGAAAUGUCUUUGUUUAGUGAAGUAAUUGAUGGAAAACCAAAGGAAAGAAUUAACAUGAAUUUGGUUAGGAAGUGUAUGUAGGGUUGGUUUUCAUAGGUAUGAUACAACUUAAAAUUUAAUCCAAAUCUGUUAACUUAUUUCUUUGGUUAAUCCCUUUAUAGUUACCCAACAAUAAAACAUCGAGUCUCUAGGGGCAUCGACGUGAGGGGCAUCAACGUGACGGGCAUUGGAAUGGUUGGGACCAUUAAUUGUAUGCUUUUACCAAAGCACCAAUAAUACGUCAAAUUCGUUGGGGCUAUGACGUUUUCAACUUCAUCUAGAAGCCAAUGGUCGCACUAGUUUUAGUAUUUUUUUCUUUUUUCUUUUAAACUCUCAAUUUAACAUCAAAGCCUCAUAGAUCUUCGACGUAUUUUUUGUCAACAAGCAAAUCAUAUCAGAAUCCGAAGAGAAUUUUUACUUUUCCAUUGAAUGAUGUUUGAGCAUCGAAUUCGGCUAAUCUUCAGUGUUCAUACUAGAUGGUGGACAGUGAGAACUAAUAUGCAUAAUUACACAAUGUACUGCUCUUUUCGGUAUCCUUCUUGAGUUCCAACUCCUUGAUACUUUGCUCCUCUUCCAAAACAUACCAAUAGCCUAGGGAAUUAGUGAUAAAAAUCAUUAAGUGUAACCUCGAUUAUCUUAUUCACAAAUUUCAACUAAACACAAGAGGUUAAGCAACCUUCAAAGUCAAAGAGAGUUGAUUUAGUAUCAAAAUUGUAUCAUAGAUAACGGUAAAAUCAACCGUUAUUAGGGACGUCAAUUUGUUCUUAUCUGAAUUAAACGAGAUUUAUUAAAUUUUCUCUGAAUGAUGUUUCAACGUCAAAUUCGGCUAGGCUUUGACGUUCAUACAAGAUGGUGUAGUGUGGUAGUUAGUAAGCAUAAUUACACGAUGUACGUCAUUGGUUCAUCUAUAAAUAUAGCUUACAUCACGUAAUCCCUUGCCUCUUGUUUUCUCUAUUAAACAUAUUAGGAUUCAUGUUUUUUUAUUUUGUUUGCAUUUUCUUUUCCUUGGAUUUCAAAGCAUUUAUGUUCUUCAAAUUGCAAUUUGCUAACUUGAAUUUGAAAGUGUUGCAUUCAUCGUCGUUUCAUAUGAAGGUGACCUUUCAAAUUCAAGUCAACAAUAUGGUUCACAAUAUGUUUAAUGCUGAAAGAAUUUUAAGAUCUAAAAUAAUUAUAUAAAAAAGUCGUUCAACUUCAUCAUUUAACAUUGUAUGAAUCAUUUUUUAUUAAAUUGUCUUGGAGUUUUCUUCUACCAUUAGAUUUCAGAGCUAUUUGAUUUCCUAUGAUGGAAACAACUUCAAUACAAAUUAAAUUUAUAUAGUUGACUUCGAAUAUUGGCUACAUUAGAUUCAAAGACCUAGAGUUGACGUCAAAUUUUGAGUCACCAACAUCCUAUAUCAUAUAAGAUUUCUAAAAGAAAUCCCCUUUUACAAAACACAACAUCUAAAAUGGAGAAUUUUUUUGAAAUUCGUAAGUGUUAACAGUUUCCUCUGGUUUUCCCCUAUGCCUUCAUGGAUAACAAAUAAAAGUAUCCAUUUAGUGAAGGACUUGAGGGGAAACCAAAGGAAAAAGUUAACAUGAAUUUGGUAGGGGAAGUUAUGUAAGGUUGGUUUUCAAAUGGUACAACUUGAAAUGAAAUCCAAAUCUGUUAACUUAUUUCAUCGGUUACUCCCUUUAUAUUUCAUUUUUCUUUGAAUCCAACAAUAAACGUCGAAAUUCAUGAUAGUUUGACGUUGUAUGUGAAAUAGUGUUGAGAUUGUUGACAACACAAUAUCUAUAUCACUCUGGUUUUUUAUGAUGACAACACAUUGUUAAUAACACACAUAUGUUGUUGUUGUGUUACAUGUUCAUAUGCUUAUGAUUUGAUAUAUUAUUGAACAUGUUUAUGUCUUUUACUGUUGUGUGAAUGCAUACUUAUUGAGCUUGUACAUGCUACAUCAUAUCUGGUUGCAUUACACAUGUUUUAAAGGAUGAAAACUACAUGCACUCUUGUGACAAAGCUGCAGUAAAGUCCACUCCAGUACUAAUUGAUUCGACUAUACUAAAGUCUUUGUACAGAUUUUUAGAAACAGUGCUAUGUGAGAUUUUGUGAAGGAAAGAAUUUCAAAAUGCUCUGACAUGUCGAAGUCGACUGUGUGCGCCACACAUUCUGUUAUGCUCAUGAAUAGUAACAACUAUAAUUUUAAAAGUUAGUUGAGCAUUGAAUAUAAGUCAACUGUAUUGAAUGGGAAUUUAUUUUGUUUGAAUGUAUGCUACUGGUUUGACUAAUCUGUUAUAACUGUCAUAACCUAGUCGACUGAAUUAGUAGCAUAUUCAACUUAGGGAGCGUCUGAUUAACAUAAUUCUAUAAAUAGAUGUAAUAUGAAAUUAUUCAGAGAAUUUUGGACAUUUGUUGAACUAACAUUUUCAGAUUCUAUUUCAGAUUUUUUCUCAGAGAUUAUUAAGCUCCAAGAAUUCUCCAAGAAGGUGAUAACGGUCUAAAAACCGUUAUUUUCAUAUUUAAACUUGAUAGUAAAACACACCCUUUGUGGCUUAGAAUGAGCUUUAAAUCAAGUAAAACAUUUAAUUUGAGUCUCUUGAGAGUCAAAAGUUGGUUUUAGAGAUAUUAUGCUUGUUUUGCAUUGUUUUGCAGGGUUUUUGGAUGAAUUAAAGAUGGAAGUGAAGUAAGGUGGACUUAGACCCAUGAAAGAAGGAGAAAAAUGAUGAAAAGAAGGGUCAGACAAGCUGCUGAGCGCUCAGAGUGAUUAGAGGCAAACCGCUCAGCGACAAAACUGAUCGCUGAGCGGCCAAAGCGGCUAGAGGCAAACCGCUGAGCGGUCAAAUUAGGCUCCUGGGCGGUUUUCUGUUUUUUUAGUUAGAUUUUGUAAAUCUUUUUGUUAUCUAUUUGUUAUCUUUUUGAGCUUAUAUAUAGCCCUAGUGUGAAUUAGGUAAGGAUUCUUUUGGCAGAGAGAACGUCCAGAGCCAUUCGACACACCUUGGAGGAGAUUUCUUGGAUGCUUAGGCUCCUUCUUAUCAAAUCUAGGGUUUGCUUUUCCAUUCUUUUAUUAAUUUCAUCUAGUUUCACCAUGUCAAUGGUGAACUAAACCCUUUAUUGUUGGGGAACAAUGUAAUCUCUUGAAACUCUCAUAUAUUGAAAUUCUUAUUUAUUUCAUAUGCUUGUCAUAUACUUGUUUAUCAAUUGUUGGAUUCUCAUCUGCGCUCAAUGCUUUUAUUGUUUAAUUCAUUCAGUAAAUGAUGUUUGUCUUUAUCGAUAUGGGGACGUACGGUAAUGUCAUGAACUGGUGGGAAAUUCCUUGAUUAUGCAAUAUCACCUAGGGAUAGGGAUAGGACAGUCAAUUGCAUUUGCUUCAGAACGCAUUGCAUUAUUAGUUACUAGCAGAGGCUAGGGAUAGCAAGCCGGUAAUUAGUAAUAGGCUCUUUUCACCAAGGAAUUGGGCUAAGGGUAAUUAAGAAAGUUUGCAUGACAAUUAGAUAAAAAAGUGAAUUAAAUAAGAAGAGUAGAUAUAUGAGAGUGGAUAAGAUGAAAUUGUAAACCCCAACAACACCAUUCAUCCAUAGUUCUCAAAACCAAUUGAAUCAAUUGCAUUGCAUGUUUAUUUUUGUUCUCUGCAUAUAACCACCAAUAUUAUUCUCUUCUCAGGUCUUACGCGAUUAGGUUACAUGAAAGUUAAGGCCUAAGAGUCCUUUGGAAAAACGAUACUCGGACUUACCAGUUUAUAUUACUUGAUAACGAUCUAGUACACUUGCUAGGGACUUAACAAGUUUUUUGCGCCGUUGCCGGGGACUCAUGGUUUAACUUAUCUAGUAGUGUAACCUUGAUUAAGUUUGACUUGAUUGUUUAUAUAUUUUUAUCUUUUUAUUUUUAUUUUUAUUUUUUUUAUAAAAUAUAAAAAAGUGCUACGAGAGUUUUUGUUUCUUGUGCAUGCAACAGGAGACGAGACAUACUAGAAGCAAGAAAAAUACGCAACCUCUUCUUGAAGGCUUAAGCGAGACAAGAGGGAGAAGGAGAGUUAGACGCCCAUCUAGGGAUUUGUUUCCUUCACCUGACAGAUUACUAUCACCUUCACCAGAUAGAAGAACAGAGGAGAUGGCUGAGAGAACUCCUCCAAGACGCACUCUUGCAGACCAAUCAAAUACGGUUGGCCCUUUCAAUUUUAGCAGCACAGUCAUGCCUGCAGAUCAAACGACCAACAUGGUGAUGAAUCCAGCACUUAUACACCUAGUGUAGAGUAAACAGUUUCAUGGCCUAUCAAAUGAGAAUCCUUAUGACCAUUUGACAACAUUAAGUGAAAUAUGCAACACAGUGAAGAUGGCAGGCGUAUCAGAUGAAAGAGUAAGGCUUAGCUUGUUUCCUUUCUCAUUGGAGGGCAAUGCUAAGACGUGGCUCAAUUCCUUUCCUGAAGGAACAUUUACAACUUGGGAAGUUGUGGCUAGAACAUUUGUCAACAAAUAUUUUCCACAAUCUAAAGUUACUCAAGGAAAGCUAGAGAUCUCAUCAUUUAAACAAGGCAUGGAAGAAUCUAUAAGUCAGGCAUGGGAGCGAUUCAAAGGACUACUCAGGAAAACACCAGUUCACGGAUUUGACAAGACAACCAUUGUUCUUGCCUACCUUGGUGGAUUGAAUAUGCAGUCUAAGAUGAUGUUGGACGCCUCAGCUAGAGGUUACAUUAAACAGAAGACUGAGGAUGAAGCCUAUGACUUGAUAGAGAGAAUGGCAGCUAAUGGUCAAGAAGCAUAUAAUGAAAGGGGUGCACCAACACAACAGAGAGGAGUCUUGCACUUACCUGUAAAUGAUGCAAUGCUAGCUCAAAAUCAUCUUUUGACCCAAAAGCUAGAUACAUUGACAAAGAUCCUUUCACAACUUCCAAAGGAGAUUCAAAAUUUUUCUCAAGCACAACAGCUAUGUGAACUUUGUGGUGGAGACCAUAUUAAUGGUCAAUGUGCUAUACCUGAGGAGAUGCAGCAGGAAGCUAACUAUAUGGGGAACCAAUACCAGUUUAGACAAGGGAAUUUCAACCAAGGCAAUCCCAGCCAGGGUUGGAAAAAUCAUCCAAGUAUUGGUCAACAACGAAAUAACCCAUCAGGGCAACAAGGAAGCUUCAACCUUUAACUAUGUGGCAGCAGGUUGCACAUUUGACAGAGGUUGUCCAAAAUAUGAGUAGAAGAUUUGAUGAAUUCAUGAAAGUCUAUGAUUCAAAUCGCACGCCCCCACACAUUAACACGAGGCUUUCUAGUGUGCUUUGUCCUCGCUCACACACUUUCCGAGAAAACUUCCUGGAAGGUCAUGGAGUUCUUAUGAGUUAGGCUACCGAAAAGCAAAUGCAUUUGUUGAUAUGAGUAGCCAAAUCAAUUCCUUUAAGCUAUCCUUCAACUGUAUAGUCCCAUACCUAUAUAGUCUCUAGAUCCCUCUCAUUCCGGUGUAUGUUCGAUUCGUCCACGUGUCGCUUCCACUGGAAGCCUGCCAGGAGCCGCUCCUUGUCCAUGCCUCUUGCACUGGCGAUCACUCCCCGCCCUCGUCAGUGCUCGGGUGUCACAUGCCCACCAGCUUUCGCUUGGUUUGUCCUCGAACCACACCGUACUGGGAGAGGCUAGGCUUUGAUACCAUUUGUAACGCCCCGACAACUUACAAGGACUAUUGACUGCCCCUACACAUCAACAUGAGGCUUUCUAGUGUGCUUUGUCCUCUAACGGAGUACCACUAGGAAAUAAUAGAAUCCGAAAUUUUACGCCAAUUUUUUUUGUUAUUAUUUAAAAUUAACAUCGCAGAAAUAAAACUCAAUGGUUUAAGCAUCUUAGAACAUAAAGUUCAACCUUACAAUAUCAAAUCCAUUAUUCAAAAACAAGAAAUAACUUUAAAACAUGAUAAAUUCCCCAUAGCAAAUUCCCAAAUCUCUCUUCGUGCUACUCCAGCCUUGCAUUAUCUGCAACACCAUCUACUCCCGUACAAGUACGAUCAUUGUAGGUGGAACCACAACCACAAAAGUAAAUUGGUGAGUAACUAAGGACAUAACAUAGCAUAUAAUUUCAAAGACAACAUCAUAACAUAGACUAAAAUAGUCAUCACAUCACAACACUUCUCAGUAUUCAACUCAACUUAAAUCAUCACCACCCAGACUAUCAUAGUCAUAACAUUACAAUACAUCAAUGUAUUAAACUCACAACUCAAGUCAUUUACACAAGCUUCUGUUGUUUCCUUGAAUUUUGUCGUACCAAACUUGUAUCGCAAAACAGGGCGAUUCGAGCCACCUUCCGUCGCAACUUCAGGCCUAUCUCCCCGACUCCUCAAGGAAUUACGAGUAAAAACUUCGGUUAGGCACACCCACCGAGCACUAUACUCACACGAGCCGAAGUCAUUGGGCGAGACAUCCAACCCUCUCUAGUCCCCGUGCACGAGGAUAGGGUGACACUCGAAUCUCAAUCUCCACAGAGAACUCAACACACUAUCGUAUCGCAAAACGAACACCAUGGUUCGAAAAAAAUUCUAAGGAAAUCACAGAACACUUGCUCUCACAACUUCACCAUCACAACCAUACACAUAUCACCCGCAUAUUCAAAGUCAACCAAAUUCAUUGACCAACAAUUAAUUAAAAUACUCAAAUAAUUAAACCAAUCAAUUUUUAAAAAUAAAAAAAAAUUUAAUUAUUUUCCUACUUGCACACCCCCGUGAAAUUAUUAAUCUCACACUCUCAUCCACUAGAACCAAUAUUUCUAGUGCACCCCCGCUUUUACUAAAAUCACAUCACAUAGUAAAACACACUUUUUCAUGUACCCCUUUUUAUUUUAAAUACACCCCCUCUCUUAAAUUUACCAACCCAAAUGGACUUCAUUAAUCUUUUUAAUUUUAAACUCAAACUUUAUUUUUUUUUCUCUCUCCAAGUGGACCCCACUUAAAAUAUUCUUUUCUCACUAAAAGUUCUCUUUCUCUCCCUUACUCUCUACUUUUACGUAACCACUUCUCUCAUUCACUUUUUAUUUUAUUAUUUAUUUUUUCAAUUAAACCAAAAUCCACCUCACCCACCUUUCACACCAAAAUUACCGUGGACCCCACUCACUUUUCUAGAUCAACUUUUCUUCUCUUUUCUAAGACUAAAAGGCCAAUCUCUCUCCCAUUCGAUUACCAUUCACGUAACACUCACACAUCCCAUAUUUCACAAUGUCAAACUUCUCUCUCCUUCUUCCAUUUUUUUUUCGUCAAUUUCAUGCAUGUUCAAAUCAAAAGGUCUUUUAUGGAUGCAAUAUGGUCGAGGAAAAGGGAAGAUAAAUAUGGGUGAGAAGCUAUAAACCAAAGGAAAUAAAGGAGCAAUGGGGAACAAGUGAAAACACAGUAUACUCACACCCAAAACCUCUAAUUGCAACCUCUUCUUGACUCCUUUAUUCACAAUUUUUUUUCAUUUUUCUUUAUUUUUUUUUUCAUCUUGUCUAUUUUAUUUUCUCUCUUUUCAGAACACAACUCUAAGAGACAAGAUAACACAACAUAUAUACAAAAACAAAAACAAGAAGAGGAACCAACUAGCCAAUUCAUCAGAAUUUCCCAAGAGACCACACUUAUUCGCAAAACAAUUCCAAAGCUCCAAAAUUCCCUAUGGCUAAAGUAAUCAUGGUUUUUCAGUUAGGGCUAGUGUGUGAGCUUGAAAACAAAGAAAUGAGGAAAAGUAUAGGCUCAAAGGGGUUAUCAAGGGAUCACAACAAGGUAGGCUCAUCUGGCUAGAGAGGCUCAACAACAAAAUUGCCUUUAUUACUUUUAAACAUGCAUAUCAAUCAAGAAUCAUCAAAAAGAGUCAAGCCAAGGCAUAUGUGCAAGCAAUCAAGAGACAUAUCACACACAAGAAAGAAUAACAAGUGGCUCAAGUCCUCACACUGGGUAUUUCUGUCACAAUCAAAUCAUGCUCUCAAACAUCAUAAUCAUCUUCCAAGUGGAGAAAAGCAAGGAUUUCAAGCUAAUCAGAGUAUCAAUGAAGUGAAGGAAAAAAAUAACUGACAACCUAAACAAAGUCCAGAAAUCAAGAACACACAUGCAAAACUCUACACAAAACACAACAAAAACUACCUAAAAAACAAAAAAUUUAAUGCAGAAAACAUAAACUAAGAAAGAAAAAUCAGAGUCUCCCCCGAUAGACCACACUUAAACUACACAGUGUCCUCAAUGUGUCACAAGCAUAAGAUCACAAUCAUAAUAGUCAACAGAUCAAGGACAAGGGCAAUAAAAGCGGGAAAGGGGAAGAAGGGAAAGAAGAAAACUCCCCUGAUCAUGGUGGCAGUUGCCAAUUUUGGACUUUCAGGGAGAUCUCUUCCACCACCGGAUUCAGCAAGGAAGUCUUUAAGAAGAACUGCUUCAGUCUCCAUAUUUGAUCAAGUAGGGAGGUGUCCUCCACAGCUGGAUCUAAGAAGCAGUGAUCGUUGAUGAGCAGGUUCAGCUGAUGCCUAUUAAUCUUCAAACAGUUGUGCAUGUUGGCACCCUUGUCCUCCACCAUGGGUGUGUGUUGGUCAAAUUCAUGUGUACCUCCUGCAACAUGGUUAGUGCAAUAUGGUUCCAAGAAAUGAUAUGCAGGGGUAUAACACUCAAUCCUAGUGUAACAGGCUGAACCUCAGAUAUACCCUCAGAACAUGAAUCACUUUCAAAAAUAGAAACAAUAUCAACAAUAGGCUCAGAUUCAUGUACAGUGCAUGGAGAACAAACAUUCAAACAAGAUGGCAAAAAGUGGUUCUCAUCAUGCAGAGAGGGAGAAUGAAAAUCAUGCUUAUCAACAUCAUAAUCAUCAAUAACAUACCUAUCAACAACAUGAUCAUCAACAACAGAAUCAAUCAUAGGUAUGUUUACCUCCACUUCCCUGAAGAUUGGUAGAGUGGUGAAAGGUGAAGCUACUCUACCUAUCUCAAAAGUGUUGCUAAUAUCUGCCUGGUCUUUCAAUUCUUCAUCAGUCUCUCCAAAUGCAAGAGUGGGGACAUAGGAGGGUGGGAAAGUAGAUGGUCUAGUAGUAAGCUCAUGACUCUGCUCCCCAUCUCCUAUGUGGAUGACAUCAACAUCGUGUGGAAGCUGAACAGUCUGAAAUGGUGAUUCCUCUGAAACAUAAGACUGUUCCUCAGUGAGUUGAGUGACCAUCUGCCCCAUCUGAUCAGUCAAACUCUGAAAGCAAGCUCUGGUCUCCUGUUGAAACUCCAUGUUCACUUGCUGGAACUGAAUGCUCUGAAUAGUCAUAUGCUCCAAUAACUCCUUGAAUGUAGGCUUAGAAGUAGUGGAAAGAUGAGGAGUUGCUUGGGCAGGCUCGUAUGACUGCAGCUGCUGUAGCUCCUGGGCUGGUGGAGAAGGCAUACAAGAAUUCUGGAAUGACUGAUAUUGCUGUGGAGCAUCAUACCAUCCCAAGCUAAGGUCAUUCCAUCUAGGAUCGUUGUUGUAGCCAUGCUGAGCAGGGAAGAAUUUAUCCAAGAACAGUUGCUCAAGAUCUUCCCAAGAGGUGAUGGAUCCUGGAGGAAGAUAAUACAACCAAUUCCUUGCUGCUUCUUGUAAUGAGUGUGGGAAUGCCCUUAAGAACAUGUGAUCAACCGGGACAUGUGGAGGCUUCAUUGAAGAGCAAAUGAUGUGGAAUUCCUCCAAAUGUUUAUGUGGGCAUUCACCUGCAAGACCAUGAAACUUAGGCAGCAAACGUAUCAUUCCAGAGGUGAGAAUGCAAUGAACAUCAUCCUCAUUAAGUGAAGCUGGCUCCUAGGAGCACUCUCAGGAAUAGGAGGAUGAGUCAUAUUAUUCUCAACAUAGAAAUCAGCAGAAUAUGCAUGAGAAGCAAUAUCAGAGUUAAAUUCAGAAGGAGAAUCAAAGUCAUGGACAUAGGUAGAAGAAACAAUAUUCACAACAUCAAAGUAGGUAGACAUGUAGAAGAAAAAGGGGAAAAAGAAGAAUGCAAUGAAAAUAUGCAACUAAAGCUAUCUAAAUGCAACACACAUUACACGACACACAAAACGGAACAACACACUCACAGCACAAGACAAAAUACAACACACACAAACACAACAAAAGACCUAAAACCGAACCGUUGGUCCCCGACAACGGCGCCAAAAUUUUGAUGGGUGUCGCAGCCCAUACAAAUUUGAUGUGCAUAAAGAAUGCAGUAUAGUGCUAGGAAGUGACUCUUAGGUCAUCUCUCAAGGACCAAAUGUGGUUCGAGUCUUAGGUCUAACAUGAAGUGGGGGGGGGGGUUGUGAAAGGUUUUUGCAAGGAAUAUUAAAUUAAAUUAAAACUGAAAAUUAAAGGCAACCAAACAUACUUGAAAACAUUGAAAUAAAUGGACAAAGCAGGAAGACCGAACGGUCAUACAGAUGACCAAACGAUUCUACAUUGAGACCAAACUAUCUCUAAACCAAGUGAGGAAAUUGGAAAUGCAAGAAGCUAAAGAAACCAAACAAAAUAGACAACAUAGUGAACGGAAAAAGUAAAUCAAACACUAUAAUAGAUAAAUUAUCCAAACACAAUUAAAAUAAUUAACAUUGAACACUCGAUUAAAUCUACCAAAAGAAAUUAAAAUUGCAAAAACUUUUAAUUAAAAAUCUCUUCAGCCGUGACAUGUUGAGCUCCCAAAAUUCAAUUGAAUUAAAACUUGAAAUGUGACUUGCUUAAAUGGUUCAACGUGAUUUUCUCCUUGAAGAAAGGAAACAAUUUCCUCCAAAAGUAAACUCCAGCACGUGACACACAAACACCUAAUCAUCCCAUCAUUUCUUCAUUCUUAAGGAAAUAAAAGAAAAGAAAUUACCAACAUUCACCUACCAACAAAAAAAAGAAAAGGAAAGCAAAGUGGUUGUAGGUUAUGCACCACCGUAACACCAUACUUCUUUGCACCAAAUCACCUUCUUCACUCUUCAAUUAAAUAAAAUAAAAGAAAACUAGCUACACCUAAGCUACCAGCACCGUGACCAAUCAAUGAAAAGCUCCAAAGAAAAUAAAUGCUGCAACAUGGAGAAAAGGAAAUAUGAUUCAUUAAUUCAACCACAAAAAACGUAAACAUCAUCCCAUGCUGGUCAAAAACUUUUUCAAUGCUAAAGAAAAAUUAAAGAGAGUGGCGGCUGGUUUCUUCAUUCAUUCGUAACCUUCCAUUGCUUCCUCCAAAACGUUGUAGCCCAAAAAAAUAAAUCUCCUCCAAGAAGGUGUGUCGGCUCCCUUAAUGUAAUAGUAUCAGCUCUAGGUUUCUGUGCCUUUUAUAUGAUGGACGGUGGUGUGCACAUGGGUGUGUGCUACUGUACGUCAAAAAAAAUCUCCAAGCACACACCUCAACUCUUCGUAUUGGACCGUGAGCUCCUCUUCAAUUUAAUUCAGGUCGUGAGGUGAUCUUGCCAAACCAAGCUGCUGAUCCGUGAAUGUGUUGUCUGUGACGUGUUGGUGGGCUGCAAUAGCAAGCUUUGAACGUGUUGCAUUGUGGGCCGAGACAUUGCUGUUGGUGAAUCAUGUUGGACGUUUCUUCAUUUUGGACACUACAACCAGACUCUUGGAAGUGUGGAGUGAGGCAGGGACCGUGGGCAUGGGCUGUUGCUUCCGUAGUUGGGCGUGUGCACCGCUUUUCUUUGCUGCCAACCUGUGCCUCCUGGAUGAAGAAUUGAACUUGAUGGACUUCCAAAAAUUUCUUUCCAUGGGCCCCAUUGCCUUGCUAUAUAUCACCUCCUUAAUGAAGCCAACUCAUCUUCUAAAAGAAGACUUAAGUCCAAGUCGUGGCAUCUCCCUUUGGAUCCAACUCCUAUGAUGUUGGCUGCUACCUUUUUGUAAGUUGGACCAGCUACUGUCCAAGCCUUCACGUGCUGCUAUAAGUGGUCUUUGAAGUUGGCCCGUAUACAUUCCCAAGCUUGGACGCUGCCAAUCAAAUUUCAGGCCCAAAAUCAGCAGUUGUUUUUUGUUCCUCUCGGUGGCAACUGUAUCCUCUCAUUCAUACACGGGCUGCAGCUAGAAUUGUUGUGGAGUGCAGCAAGGAAAAUAUGGAGUUCAACAACAUCAACAAAGCAGGCCGUGUGUGGGGUGUGUACCUCAAGCUGGAUGCACCACUCUUGUGCUUGGAUGCUGCAGCUGAAAAAUAUGUGGGUGCCACACCGCUUCUUACAAUGAAAGCGUUGGACGUGGCAGCAACUUCAAAAGCCAUGGUCUGUUACUUUUCUUGCAACCGUGACAUUCCAACACCAAGGCUUGCUGGACCGUGAAGUCCAGCUUGCUUUUCUCACACUCCCCUUUGCUGUUAGCUGAACCCGAGAAGCCUCUACUGGAGAAGAAACAUGUUGGGCUGUGUUGAGUGUUGCAGCUGCUGGGACAUUGCUGGAGAGUGAAGGACAUGGUGGGCCGUGUACUGGCUUGAUCGCCCUGCACCUCUUCGCAGUUGGAUGCGUGAUGAACAUAUGCUUCAAUGUGGGCUGAUGAAGUUGAUGGAUGCAUGAGGACGUUGCAGCAAUCUGGACUUCAAAGCUGUUGUCGGAUCCUAGGAGUAGGCUGGAAGCUGGACGUGCCAAGUGUGGAGAUGGUCUGGACCGUGAAGGUAGCAUGUUGGAUGCGUGGAAAGGCUGCAAAAUGAUGGCCCAGGCCGUGAGCUAGUAGGACGUGAUUGUGUGGUGCGGGCCGUGAUGGCUGUGUUGGAUUCUUAUCACAAUUUGUGUCCAGUACGUAUGUCCAACCUGAAAAGGAAAUGAGUGUCCUCUCCCGCGUAGGCUAGGACACCACUUCCUAUUUGAAGUCAGCAUUUUUUAUUUCUUUUAGCCGCCCCUACACACUUCUGUUCUAUCUCCUAAAUUGUGCCUUUUCUUUUUGUUUUUUUUUUUAAACAAAACCCACUGGACCCAUUUAAAGAAGCUAGGAGCUUUUUUUCUAUUUUUUUCCUCCAGCCCAUCUACGUGUGCAUUUCCAUAUCCAAGCCCAAAAAUUCAAUGUAAAAUACCUUCAAAAAGUUAAUCCCUCAUGUGUUUCUCUCCUUUGGGUGGUGGCUACACCUUAUUUAAUCUCCAAAUGUCCCAAAUUAUAUUUCCAAAAUUUUCCCUGCAAUUAAAAAUGCACUUAAUUAGCUUAGAUAAUUCAAAUUAAUUAAAAUUAGAAUUUCUGAUCAAAUUAAGCACAAUUAGCAGAAACGGGAAAAUACCGGACAAUUAAGCACAAUUCCCUGAUUAAUUCUAGCACAAUAAACUAAGUGAAAUCAAUAAACUAUCGACUCAUCAAUAAGCUGCAGCAUGGAGUCUAUCUUGGGCUGUGUUGUGCUGCUAUGUUCAGUCCAUGCUGCAGGCUUCAAAGAUGGACUUUCCAAAGCUGGAUGCAUGAAGAUGUACGUGUGGGUGUUGCUGUCCAGCUGUAGUGUGAGGAAACAAUUGCCUGUUUCAUACCUCUUCUUGCUAGACCGUGUUUCAUGGGAGCUCUAAUGCUGCAGCCUUCUUCCUUUUCCAUGGGCCGUGGCAGCUUCAAAUGAUUUCAACCAUUGCUUUUCUUUCUUCCAUGCACUUUCUUCUGGACGUGUGAUGCUGGCCCAAGGCUGUGAUGCUGUUUGAAGCUUGGAGGUUGCAGCAGCUAUUUGCAUGGGGUAUGCGUUGCUGUAUGCGUGGAGAGAGUUGGGCCAACUUAUGGACGUGGAAGCGUUGAUUUAUGCUAGGCCGGGUGCACCUCCAUAAUUUGCUGUAGUGUGCUUGGGAUGCAGUUUUCUCGGUCCAAGAUGAUGUGGACUUGUUGUUGCCGAUUUAAACUUGAUGGAGCGUGAUGAAGGUGGGUCGUGUGCGAUGUGCUUCAGCUUUGCAGGGUGGGCCGUGUGACGUCCAUUCUUCUUUUCUCAACAUGUUACAGCCUAAAUGAAUGUUAAAUCCACGUGUGACGCCUUCUUCUCCCAGCCAGAUGAACUAUUCUUUUCAAUGCAUCAACACAGUGCUUGAUUAAAUAAAAAUGAAAGUUCUUAAUGAUUUCAUCAUCCCGCAACGUGUCUGCACCACUUUUUCGUAACAACUAUGCUUCCAUUUGGGCCGUGACCUCUUCAAUUUAACUCAGCCAAUUGCAUUAUGAAGCUCCUCUCACAUGGAGGUGUCACCUUUUAAAAGCUAAAGACCCAUGUACACCUCUCCAAGCCCAAAGGAAAAUCAUGAAAACCAAUCAUCUUAGUGUCCUCCUUUUUGUGUACACUUCUUUUGUGGAAAGUCUUGAAUUAUGUGACAGCCCUUCAAAUGUUUCAAACUGUAUUUCACAAAUUUUCUCUGCAAUCAAUAAUGCAAAUAAUUAUCUCAGAUAAUUCAAAUUAAUUAAAAUUAGAAUUUUCAGUCAAAUUAAGCACAAUUAACGAAAAAAGGAAAAUACCGGACAAUUAAGCACAAUUCCCUGUUUAAUUCUAGCACAAUAAACUAAGUGAUACAAUAAAAUAUCGACUCGUUACUUCCACUUCGUGUCUGACCUGAUUCUCGAACCACAGUUUGGUCCUUGAGAGACGACCUAGGAGUCACUUCCUAAUCUAUAUUGAAUUCUUUAUGCACAUUAAAAUUGUAUGGGGUGCGACACCCAACAAAUUUUGGCGCCGUUACCGGGGACCAACGAUUCGGUUUUAGGUCUUUUGUUGAGUUAGUGUGUGUUGUGUUUUCUUGUGUUGUGAGUAUGAUGUUCUAAUUUGUGUGUGGUCUUUAGUUGCAUAUUUUCAUUGCAUUCUUCUUUUCCCCCUUCUUUCUACAUGUCUACUUAUUUUGAUUUUGUGAAUACUGCUUCUUCUCCCUGUGCCUAUGACUAUGAUUCUACUCCUGCUUGUUACUCUGAUUAUGAUUCUCCUACUGAUUUCUAUGUUAAGAACAAUAUGAUUCAUCCUCCGACUCAGGAGAGUGCUCUUUGGGAGCCGGUUACUCAUUAUGAGGAUGAUGAUCAUUGCAUUCUCACAUCUGGAUUGAUACAUUUGUUGCCACAUUUGGAGAGGUUGAUGGGUGUCGCACCCCAUGCAAAAUUUAAUGUGCAUAAAAGAAUGCAGUAUAGACUAGGAAGUGACUCCUAGGUCGUCUCUCAAGGACCAAAUGUGGUUCAUGAAUUAGGUCUAACACGUAGUAGGGGGGUUUGUGAAAGGAUUGUGAAUGCGGAUAAACUAAAUUAAAACACAUAUGUAACAAAAAUGUAAAAACGGAAUUGCAAACACAGAUGUAAAAAUGGAAUCAAAUGCAGAAUGAAAACGGUUGGUCAUUAACUCAAUUACUAUGCCUCCUAUCCCAGAUCAAUGACAAGUACACACUGCUCUAAUCCAAAUCCGACAUGAAUCACCCAACUAAGCGAAGGCUAAUUCAGUCUUCAAAAUUACAGGCUAAGCGAAUGCAAUGCACAAAUUUAAUCAGUCAUCCACCAUACAGUCUAAUCAACUAAGCAAAGAAUUGGCACCGGUUAGGCAACUAAGAGUAUACCUAUUUUUAGGCAGACAACAGAUUAAAUAUUUAGCAGAAUCAAAGCCGCAGUAUGACAAUUAAAGUGCAAAAGUCUCAUGAAUAAACUACUCUAGCCUCUAAUCCAACACAACUAACCGACUAAGCGAAGGCUAAUCAUGCUAUCAUAAUUACGAACUAAGCAAACGCAGUGCAUCUAUUCCAUCCUAUGUGUUCUACACAGAUUGACCAACUAAGCGAAGGUACAAUCACCAACUAGGCAACUAAGCGUAUACCCAUUGCAAGAACACAGUCAGAUUUCAUAGAGUGUCAGGCAGAGCAGAAUAAACACAAAGACAGUCCAAGAAUCUCAAGGAAGCAAUGUAAUAUCGCUAAUUACCAACCCGCCUAACCUAAGCUAACAUCACAAUUAAAUUAAGACAACUUGCAUGACCCACUUGAAAAGCAAUUGAUAAUUAGAACAUGCAUCUUCCGACUGAAUAAAAUUCCAAAGAAACAUUAGCGUAAACCUAUUGCAACACAAAGCAACGAGAAUUAAAAAUGUGUAAAACCUACUAGAACCAAUUUUAAUGCACAGACAGCUAAAAUAAAAGAAGCAACAUUUAACUAAUGAUUAAAAUGCUCAUUGCCGCCGAAGUAACGAAACACGCUUAGCAAAUAAAAGGAAAACUCGUUGCAAUGAAAAUUAAAUGGAAGCACAAUGUAAAUGCAUGAACAACGAGUAAUGUAAAUGGGCAAGCUCUUCAAUGUUGCAUGCAAAUUAAUAAAUAUACAUAUAUAUAUAUAUAUAUAUAUAUAUAAGAAACAAGUCUCCGUUAUGCAUGAAGGAAGAAAAUGAAAAUCUAUCUUUCUAAUUAAAGAAAUUGAAACACCGCUUGCUUGGAAAUUCUCUAUCUAUGACGUGACACCCUUUCUCCAAAAACAAAUGUAAUGAAGUAUCCAUAACACUCUGCACCUCCUAAAGGAAAAUAAAAUUUCAAUUUACAUCACCAUCCAUUUUUUUGUCUUUGUGUGUUGUUCCAAAAAUAAAGAUGAUACCCCCUAUAGUCUGCCAAAAACUUGUUACCAGAUUGGCAAGCGUACCAUAUCGUAUCAAGUAAUAAUAAAUGGUAAGUCCAAGUAUCGUUUUCCUAAGAGAAUCACGACACUAAACUGUUGUGCUUUUGCUUAACCAAUCAAGACUAUAAACAUGAAUGCAAUUUGAUCAAUUGAGGUUAAACACAAAAGUGGAUGGAUGAAUGGAGUUGUUAGGGGUUUACAAUUUCAUCUUAUCCGCUCUCUCUUAGUUACUCCUCUUGAAUUAUUAGCUUGAUUAAUUAAUUGUCAUGACACUUUCUUAGCCUACCCUUAACCCGAUCCCUCGGCGAAAAGAGCCUAAUACUAACUACUGGCUUGCUAUCCCUAGCCUCCGGUAGCCAUUAAUACAACAUUAUAGAACGAAAGUUAAAAGCAAUUGAUCGUCCUACCCCUAUCCCUAGGUGGUAUUGCAAAAUCAAGGAAUUACUCACCAGUUCAUGACAUUACUGUACAUCCCCGUAUCAAUAAAGACAAACAUCAGUUAUCGAAUGAGUUAAACGAUAAAGGCAUUAAGCACAGAUGAGAACCCAACAAUUAACAAUCAAAACAUAUGGAAACCAUAUAAAUAAACAAGAGUUUCAAUAAAAGAGAGUAUCAAAAGAUUACAUUAUUUCUCCCAACAACAAUAGGGUUUAGUUCACCAUUGUCAUGGUGAAUCUAGAUGAAGAAUGGAAUGAAAGAGAUACAAACCCUAAAAAGGAGAAAAGGAGAGUUGUCACCAUCUCCAAAUCUACCCCAAAGGGGUGAAAAGUGUGUUUUUGUGCCUAAGCCAUCAAAAGAUACAAACCCUAACACGUUCUGGCCUUUAAAUAGGGCUUAAAAAUAACAUAAAACAAGCCCAAGCCCAAACAGAUUAUAAAAAACAAAGAAAACAGGUCAAAGCCCAACAGACAACCGCUCGGCGGAACAAGUGUGGCGCCCGGCGGUUUCCCAUAAAUCGCAAAACCGCCCGGCGGUAAGGUCUACCACCCGGCGGUUUCCCUCAAAACCGCCCAACGCCAACGCCAGUGCCUACUCUUCAAAUCUUCAAUUUUCUUCUCUUUUCUUGAGUCUACGACCUUUAUCUUCAACUCCAUUCUUCACUUUCUCAGAAAUGCUACAAAACAAUGCAAAACAAGCAUAAUAUCGCUAAAAACAGCUCUUGACUCUCUACAGACUCAUUUAUUGAGUUUUGCAUGAUUCUAAGCUCAUUCUAAGUAGUAAAGGGUGUAAUUUGGUCUAAAUUGACAUAUGAAAAUAACUGUUUUUCAACCUUCAUCACUCCCCCUAAGAUAAAGCUUCCCUAGGGUAACGUGCCUCCUUCAUAAGCACACAUGUGUCCUCUUGGAUCAACAACCUGGUCCGUGUGUUUCCCAUUGCUCCAGCGCACCCCUUUCUUUUACUCAUGAGCCUGCACCUCCCCGUAGACAUGUGAAAAGGCUUUGCUUUUUGGAUUUAGUAGAGCUGCUGCAGGUGCUCUAGCCCAAUUGAUUGCUCAUAGGCCUUGUCUUCUACGUGCUAUUUUAUUUUCACCAAAGCAGCAUGAUUACAACCGUGAUAGAUGUAGCCGCUUCAUUAGCCCACUUGCAUUUUUUUAAAAGCUUUCAAAUUGUUUGUAUUAUGCUUCCAAACAUCCAGCUGGACCGUGUGGACAUUUUAAUUUUCCAAACCAAAUAAAGUCAGCAGCUACAGCGUUCAAUUUCUUUGGGUUGUGGUAUUGUGUGCUGCCUCUUUUAAUUUUCAAUUGAAUGCACUUGGAUGCUGCAGCUUCCUAUGGGCCGUAACACUUCUUCUCUUGUAGACCAUGGCUGCCAACAAUUUAAAUUCAGCUCUUUAAUUGCUUGUUGGACUGUGAGCUUGCAUCUCAUUUCACCAAAAUGUGUUGCUUCCCUUUUCUAAUUAAAAGAAAAUACACAUUCAAAGAAAGCUAAGUGAUUCUCGACUGGACCACAAGCUGCUGGACUUUUAAAAUUAAAUUCCAUGUUCUCUUUAUUCAACCCAUUUUCUAUGUGCACCCCUAAAAAUGACAUGUUGCACCAUUUUCUAAUGAGUCCAAAAUGAAUCCUUUGGGCUGAAUUGAAAUUUCUCAUUUAACCUCCAAAUUUCCCAAACUAUAUUUCCAAAAUUUUCCCUGCAAUUAAUAAUGCAAAUAAUUAACUCAGAAUAUUCAAAUUAAUUAAAAUUAGAAUUUUCGGUCAAAUUAAGCACAAUUAGGAAAACGGGAAAAUAUCGGACAAUUAAGCUCAAUUCCCUGAUGAAAUUCGUUACAAUAAACUAAGUGAAAUCAAUAAAAUAUCGACUCAUCAGAGGUUCCAACGCAUUUGCUCUGUAAUGAAACCUCCACAUGUCCCUAAUGAUCACAUUUUCUUAAAGGCAUUCCCGCAUUCAGUAGAAGAAGCAGCAUGUGGAUGGCUUUAUUAUCUUCCUCCAUAACUCAAGGCCAAUUAGGAAGAUCUUAAGCAUAUGUUUUUAGAAAGAUUCUGCCCUACUCAGCAUAAUUUUGAUUCAUAUAGAAACGAUCCUGGGUGGAAUGAUCCUAACCUAGGAUGGUAUGGUACUUCACAACAUCAAUAUCAAGAACCACCAUUCCAGACUCCUUGUAUGCCUUCUUCACCUAUCCAUGAACCACAACAGCUGUAGUUUCAUGAGCCUGCCCAGUCUUCAUCAGCUGCUGAUAGGAAAUUGGAAAGCAAGCUUGAUUCUCUUUUGAGUUUGUUGACACGGCUGGCAUCCAACCAGAGACCAGCACCUCCAUCUGCAUCUGUUGCACGACUGUGUGCUAUAUGUCCUUCUAGUGACCACUAUACAGAUGAGCAUGCUUUUAAUUCUCCCUCUCUACAUCUCCCUGACAGUCCAAAAUUAGUAGCUUCCACCAUGACCAGGGGAGUUUUCCUUUUCUCUUCUCCUCCUUUCCCGCUUUUAUUACACUUGUCCAUGAUCUGUUGACUGUUCUGAUUUUUGAUCUUGUGCUUGUAACACAUUGAGACACUAUUUAGUUUAAGUGUGGUCUAUUUAGGGGAGAUUCUGAUUGUUCUUUGUUAGUUUUUGUUUUCUGUAUUUUUCUGUUAGUUUCUGUUUUCUGCGUUAAAUUUUUUGUUUUCUAGGUAGUUUUUGUCUUGUCUUGUGUACAGUUUUGCAUGUUUCUCUUGAUUUCUAGACUUUGUUUAGGUUGUAGAUGUGUCUUUCACUUCAUUGAUACUCUGAUCUGUUGGGAAUCCUUGCUUUUCUCUGCUUGAGGAAGAUGAUUAUGAUGUUUGAGAGGUUGAAUUGAUUAUGACAGAAAUGCCCUGUGUGAGAUUUGAGCCACUUGAUAUGCUUUAUUGUGUGUGAUAUGUCUCUCGAUUGCUUGCGCAUAUGCCUUAGCAUGACUCUAUUGAUAAUUCUUGAUUGUUAUGCAUGUUUGGAAGUGAUAAAGGCAGUUUUGUUGUUGAGCCUCUCUAGCCAAAUGAGCCUACCCUGUUUUGAUCCUUUGAUAACCCCUUUGAGCCUAUACUUUCCCCUGUUCUUUGUUUUCAAGCUCAUUAGUUAACCUUAAGUGAAAAACCAUGAUUACCUUAACCCUAGGGAAUUUUGGAGCUUUGGAAGUAUUUUGGGAACAAGUGUGGUGGUCUUCUUGGGGAUUCAUAUGAAUUGGCUAGCUGGUUCCUCUUUUAUUUGUUUUUGUCAAUAUGUUGUAUAUCUUGUCUCUUAUAGUUGUUUUUGAAGUAGAGAGAAAAGAAAAGAGACAAGAUGAGAAAUGAAAGAAAAAAAGAAAAAAAAUUAAGAAGUUCAUUCAUCACCAUGUUGGUCCUUUGAUCCGAAGGCAUGGCUGUGCUGUUAAACUGGAAAGGGCCGACAGCGUUAGACUGGUAUGCAAGAGUGCGUCUUGGAGGAGUUCAUUCAACAAUCUCCUCUUCUCUUUGAACUGAUGAAGGUGAUAGUAAUCUAUCAUGGGAAGGAAACAAAUCCUUAGAUGUGCGUCUGACUCUCUUUCUUUCGCUUGUCUCGCUUAAGCCUUCAAGAAGAGGUUGUGUAUUUUUCUUGCUCCUAGUAUGUCUAGUCUCCUACUGCAUGCACAAGAAACACAAAGCCUAGUAGCACUUAUAUAUAUAUAUAAAUAAAUAAAAAUAAAAAGAUAAAAUAUAUACAAUCAAAUCAAACUUAAUCAGUUUCCACUACUAAAUAAGUUAAACAACGAGUCCCUGGCAACGGCGCCAAAAACUUGUUAAGUUCCUGGCAAGUGUACCAGAUCGUUAUCAAGUAAUAUAAAUGAGUAAGUCCAAGUAUCAUUUCCCAAAGGACUCUUAGGCCUUACUUUUCAAGUAAACUAAUCGCGUAAGACUUGAGAAAAGAAUUAAGUGGAGGUUUGUAUGCAAAGAACAAAAGUAAACAUGCAAAUGCAAUGAUUCAAUUGGCUUUAAGAAAUUAUGGAUGAAUGAAGUUGUUAGGGUUUACAAUUUCAUCUUAUCCACCCUCAUAUAUCUGCUCUUCUUAUUUAAUUAGCUUAUUUAUCAUAUUGUCAUGCAAACUUUCUUAGUCUACCCUUAACCCAAUCCCUUGGCGAAAAUGAGCCUAUUACUAAUUACCGGCUUGCUAUCCCUAGCUUCCCCUUGUAAUUAAUAAUGCAUGAUAAGCGAAAGCAAAAUAAAAUUUAUCGUCCUCCCCCUAUCCCUAGGCAGUAUUAGCAUAAUCAAGGAAUUCAACACCAGUUCAUGACAUUACUGUACUUCCCUAUAUCAAUAAAGACAAACAACAUUUACCGAAUGAGUUAAACGAUAAAAGCAUUAAGCAAAGGUGAAGAACCCAACAAUUGAUAAAUAAAGCAUAUGCAAGCAUAUAAAAUAAAUAAGAAUUUGGAUAUAUGAUAGUUUCAAAAGAUUACAUUGUUCCCCAACAACCUAGGUUUUAGUUCACCAAAAUCAUGGUGAAACUAGAUGAAAUAUGAUGAAAGAAUGGAAGAAAUAACCCUAAACUUGGUAGAUUGGAGCCUAAGCAUCUAAAGAACCUCCUCUAAGGUGUGUGGAAUAGCUCUGGACGUUUCUCUCUGCCAAAAGAAUGUGUUUUGAUUCGCACUGGGGCUAUAUAUAAGCCCAAAAAAAUAACAGAAAGAUUACAGAAUCUAGCUAAUAAAAACAGACAACCGCCCAGGCGCCUAAGUUCACCGCUUAGUGGUUUCCCUCUAGCCGCUUGGACCGCUCAGCGAUCAGUUUUACCGUUGAGCGGUUUUCCUCUAAUCGCUUUGGACGCUCAGCGGUCCAUUCUGGCGCUCAGCGGUUCACUUGACCCUUUUUUUCAGCCUUUUUCCUCUUCUUUCCCGGGUCUAAGUCCACCUUACUUCACUUCCAUCUUCAAUUCACCUUAAAACCCUGCAAAACAAUGUAAAACAAGCAUAAUAUCUCUAAAACCAACUUUUGACUCUCUUAUGAC